rnacentral:lncRNA from 1 species
GUUUAUUAUGGCCAUAUCUUGUCAACUUUGACAAUCUUUUUCUGUUUCGUAAUGAUCUACGUUGUUUGGGUCAUGGUUAACAAAUUGGUAUCUCAUUGCAAUUGUGGUUAAGCUUUUUAGCUGUCAAUUACCAAGUUUAACGUUUAAAUUGACCUUGCUAUGACCACCUCAUUGGCUUUUUAGAAUGUCAUUUAUAGUUAUGAGAUAAAAGAAGUAAUAUUGAUAUUCAAAAUCGGCCUCACCUACUAAGUCAUUUACCAAGUUUUAGUGUAUUAUCUGCAUGGCUAGUUAUUUAAGAGCAAAAGUAUCAUUUUUUAUCCAAUUAAUAAAAAAUAGAUUGGUUUGGGUUAUAUUUUAGGGUUAAGUACAAGAAAGAGCCAUGUAUAUUUAUUAAUUUGUGAAAUUAAUAGCCUAUAGAUGCACUGAUCUUGAUGCUAAUGAAGAUGUUGAAGUCAAUGUACAUACAUUUACGAUAGUGAUGUUUCAAUCAUACAUAUUUCACAUAUUACAGAUAUAAAAAUAUUCUGAUAUGAAGGUGUGAACACCAAAAGGAAAAGGAAAAAAGCAACAGCCACGAAUAAGAUGUAAAUAAGUUUCAGUAGUGCUGCUUCUGUUAGUAGUAGAUAAAGAAGAAAAUUUAACUCAGUAACAACAUAAGAAAUAAAAAUGAAUGUAAAAUCAAGGCCUAAGCUUCAAUUGCACAUCUUAGUGAAUUGUGAAUUAAAUAAAAAAACGCCCAAAUGCAUAUCGGAUUAUUGAAGUUAAAAUCGGAGAUAUGAUGUUGGCAUCUUGCUUUUUAACGAUUUGGUAGAGUUAAAAAAUAGUAUUUUAGAUGGAUAAAUAACAAAAAUAUAGUCCAUUAACAUAAUUACAAAAAAUAUAUUACACUUUAUGUUCUAUAAAGAAAUAUACUAAAUUGCUUGUAAUGAGAAGUAAUGAAUUACAAAACGACAUUUUAAAAUAAGAUUAUUGAAAUUAAAAGUAAAUUAACUAAUUAAAGAUUUAAAGCAUUAAUAUAAAAAAUGAAACCACGAUGUUAUAAUUCACAAAAUUGUAGAAACUUGUUUAAAAAUAUCAUUUGAUGAUCAAUUAGUAAAUUUAGUAUAUAUAUUUAUCUAAAAUUAAUAAUUCAAAUUAUUCAAAACAUUUAAUUUUGGAUAAUGCAAUAUACAACUGUUUGUAUGUAAAAAUGUUUCCUGAUAAUUGAUAUUUGAAUAAAAAAAAAUGGUCUUGUAUUAUAAAUAAGAUUAUUAUAAUAUAUUUAAAAAAGAGUUUAUUACGUCUAUAUAACUUAAUAGAUUAAGUUAAUAGGAUAAAACAAUAUUUAUAUAAAAUGAAUAUUCAAAACUGAAAGUUAGUUUUAGUUGAUAUCUGGAAUGGUUUUUUAUGCCUAGCGAUUACCCUUUAAAAUAGAAAAAAUCAAAAAAAUAAGUUAGUUUAUAAGAUAUAUGUGACUUGUUAAAUAUAACCUAACUUGCUUACAUUUUGAAACGUCGUCACAUUUGUAGAAUUUAAAACUUAUGGCAAAUGAAAUGUAGUUUAAUAUGUAAAAUUACAUCAAUAAUAAACUCAAUAUGUGUCAGGCAUCUUAAAUUAUUUAAAAGACGUGUAAAUUUAUUUAUGAAAAUAGUAAUGGGGCCCGAUAACAAAGCUUGUCUAGAUAUAAAUCAUAAAAAGCACUCUCUAUGUCAUUACUUCUUUUCACUUCUUUGGUUGCAUUCCUAACUAAUAUGGAAAAAAUCAAUUCCAGAUUUGCAAGACUAAGAAUGAAAAGUACAAUGCUAUAUUGCUUUAAAUUUUGCAAAGUGCAAUGUAUUUGAUGAGAAAAUGAUUGACAGUAGAAUCCUAAAAUUCUUGAAACUCAAAAUCGAAUUAAAAACAAAAAAUUUAUUAUCAUAGAUUCCGAAAUCAAACAAUUACAUGAAAUUAAUUUUUACUUUUGUUUCAUAGAUUUAUUAGGCUUGCCAGCUUAUGUUCUUUACUUAAAGUAUGAUAAAUUAUGACAAGAUUGGUUAACAAUUAUGUUUUUAUUGUAUAAUAGAUUACUUUUUGCUUCAGUGUACAACAUCUAAUAUGAAUAUAUACCAUAAAACUAUCCAUCUAAAAUACUUUUCUUUUUAACUUUACCAAACAGUUAAAAAACAUGUUACCAACAUCAUAUCUCCGAUUUCCACUUCAAUAUUCCAAUACGCAUUUGGGCAUUUUUAUUUAAUUCACAGUUCAAUAACAUGUAUAAUUUUAGCUUGGGCCUUGAGUUUUCCUUCAAUUUCUUUUGUCAUGUUGCUACUGUGUUAAAUUUUCGUUCUUAAUUAUCUACUACUAACAGAAGCAGUACUAUCAAAACUUUUUUCCUUCUUAUUCGUGGUUGUUGCUUAUUCCCUUUUCAUUUGGUGUUCACACCUUCAUAUCAGAAUAUUUUUAUAUCAUAAUAUGUGAAAUAUGUAUGAUUGAAUGAUCGCCAUCAUAAUAGCAUGUACAUUAGUUUCAACAUCUUCAUUAGCAUCAUGAUCAGUGCAUCUGAAGAUUAUUAAUAUCCCAAAUUAAACUAUGCAUGACUCUUUCUUGUACUUAACCCUAAAAUAUAACCCAAAUCAAUCUAUUUUUUAGUAAUUGGAUCAAAAUUGCUACUUUUACUUAUAAAUAACUAGCCAUGUAGAUAAUACAAUGAAACUUGGUAAAUAACUUAAUAGGCGAGGCCUAUGUUGAAAAUCAAUUUUCUCUUUUAUCUUAUGACGAUAAACACCAUUCAAAAAAUCCAAUGAUGUGGUCAUAUAAGGGUCAAUUAAACAUAAAACUUGGUAAAUGAUAGCUAAGAAGCCUACCCACAAUUGCAAUGACAUACCAAUUAGUUAACCAUGACCCAAGAAUGAUAACUGGUUAUGAAACAUAAAAACUUCUCAAAGUUGACAACAUAAGGCUAAACUAAACAAAGAAAUUAAUAAACUUUCUCAUUUCUUGCAAUUAAUCACAAAAGAAGAAAAAUCAAAGUGUCGUCACCUUUGACAGAUCACGGUGAAAGACCUGGGAUAAAUAUUAACCGGGCUCCACCCUAUAACUUACAGUAGUCCCUUCCGACGACGGUAUGGCGGUUUACCCAAACAUAAAUUUUAAAAAGUAUGAUAAGACAAUAUUAUUUAUUAUGGUAGAAGUGUACUUGCAUGAGUUUUCCACGAGAAUAGUUUAUAACUAUUAAUCCAAUAUUUUAUGGUUUAUGGAAUAUAUAUUCCUUACAAGUGGAUAUUAACACAAUUAUAAUUUAAUCAUGGCAACAACACUGAGAUGAAGUCCCUGCUUCGCAUGNAUGAGUUACUAAAGGGUUUGGACACUCAUUGGAUAAUAAUAAACAUAUAAAUUUAAUUAACUAAACCCAAAAACGACAUCGGAACGUUUCGGCACACGGCGAGUUAUACGGGUAGAACGGGUUUUUCGGCGAUGGAAAACUUCGAGUUGUUACAGAUGUUUUAAUUAAGUAAUGCUUUAUCGCAAAUUUUUUUAAAUUACCCGGACAACGAGGAACGAUGUCAUACCUUAAAUUGGAAUAAAUGUUAUGACAAUAAACCACAACACAAAAACCAUCACGACAAGAGAAUUUUUUGUUGUGUAGGCCAUUUAUUUGACAAACAAUAUUGCUUGAUUUUUAUUGUAAGAAUAGAAUUUAAAAAACUAUCGUAGUUUAUGUCGAAUUAGAACUCCUUACAUAGUCAUUCAAGUUAAGCAUAAGAGUUUGUUAGCACCAUUAAUUAAGAUCUUGAAAUUUUAUUAUUAANNNNNNNNNNNNNNNNNNNNNNNNNNNNNNNNNNNNNNNNNNNNNNNNNNNNNNNNNNNNNNNNNNNNNNNNNNNNNNNNNNNNNNNNNNNNNNNNNNNNCUCGAAUCCUUAGAAGCACCUACUCGACGAAACCCUAGUGAUUCCCUGAGGAAACCGAAGUCAUCCAGGUUUGGAACUUCCAUGAGAAAACCAAUUGAUAUCAUAGAUUUAGAGAGAGUCAAUGUGCAAAACAAAGACAUGUCCCGAUAAUGAGAAUUCCACUUGAGAAAGUGAAGAUCCAAGGCAACAAAUCCAUUCGUGUCUCAUUCCAAUUCAUGAUCUGCAUCUUAUUCUUUGAUUUUCGGGGCAAAAUUCCCUCUAACGGGGGGAUAAUGUAACAACCCGAAGUUUUCCAUCGCCGAAAAACCCGUUCUACCCGUAUAAGUCGCCAUGUGCCGAAACGUUCCGAUGUCGUUUUUGGGUUUAGUUAAUUAAAUUUAUAUGUUUAUUAUGAUCCAAUGAGUGUCCAAACCCUUUAGGAACUCAUGAAACAAGCCCAAAAUAUUUAUUUCAUAAGUUUUAGAAAUGUCCCCGCCGGGUGACGGAAACUCAAUCGGGUGCGACCUAAAGCCUCGUUUAAGGCCGGUAUCGGGUAGAAUUUCACCGUGUCCAAGUUUUAAGAGCUAUAUAAACGUAUUAAACCUUUCAUUUGAAGGUUUUUCCCUCUCUCUCUACUCUCUCUCUAACCUCUAUCCUAAAUCCAAUAUUUAAGGGUCCAAAACUCAAUUUUAAGGCCUCAAAUCCCUAAGGUACCUUCCUAACUUCAUUGUAUAGCAUAUUUGGCUUCUAAAUUUGAGAUUAAAUCAUGAGAUUGGACAUAUUAUAUGAGUUUACAGCCCAGGAAGAUGCCUAGGCCGUAAACACUAAGUUUGAAGGGUUUUGAGCCCUUAAACCCCUUCUAGACAAUUUUGGGACCUAGAUAUGACUUAAUGACUUCAUGAAUUGGACUUAUAACAAUUUAAACAUGAAUUUUGAAGGCUUUGAAGGAGUUUAUGGCCAAGCCUCAUGCUUGGGCCGUAAACUCAUAUAAUUGAGGUUUUCAUGACCUUAAACCCUUCCAAAUCCCUAAUAAGGCUUAGGUAUGAAUUAUAGAAUAUCGGUUUUAGCAUUUGGACACUUGAAACAUAAUUUUUGAAGGAUUAUUGUGAGUUUACGGCCAAGGCAAGUGCUUGGGCCGUAAACUCCUUCAAACAUGGUGAAAAUUCAUUUUAAAGUGUUGUUUAACCCCUAUAACACCCCUAAAGCCUUGGAAUGAAUUUUAGAAGUCCUUACAAUCAAGUUUUUGGUCUUAAAACAUAUGGAAUAACUCACUAAGAGAGUUUACAGCCAUGAGGGGGGUCUCAUAGGCCGUAAACUCCAAAAACCCCUCCAAAAUUUCAAGAAAAUGCAUGAAAGGCCUAGGAAUAAAUUUAGUAAUCACAUGUGAUUUGUUUUAGCAUCAUUUAUCACAAUUUUCAUGGGUAUUAAGAAGUUUACGGCCAGGAGUCCAUGCUAGGCCGUAAACUCCCAUAAAUAAGUCAUUUUGAUGUUUAAAAUCCAUUCCAAGCCUUUAAACCAAACCUAGAAAAAUUCCCUUAAGUGUUACAAGCAAAGUUGUGCCAUAACUCACCCCACCAUGAGUUUACGGCCGUAAACUCAUGGGGAGAGGGUCAUUAUGGCCGUAAACUCCCUAAGGAGUGUUCCUUUGAAGUCUCAAUUCAAUAUCCUAAAUUUAUGUGUCCUUAAAUGUCACCCGGGUCCCUCCAAACACUUGUAUCNNNNNNNNNNNNNNNNNNNNNNNNNNNNNNNNNNNNNNNNNNNNNNNNNNNNNNNNNNNNNNNNNNNNNNNNNNNNNNNNNNNNNNNNNNNNNNNNNNNNUAAACUCAUGGUGGGGUGAGUUAUGGCACAACUUUGCUUGUAACACUUAAGGGAAUUUUUCUAGGUUUGGUUUAAAGGCUUGGAAUGGAUUUUAAACAUCAAAAUGACUUAUUUAUGGUAGUUUACGACCUAGCAUGGACUCCUGGCCGUAAACNAUAGGGGUUAAACAACACUUUAAAAUGAAUUUUCACCAUGUUUUAAGGAGUUUACGGCCCAUGCACUUGCCUUGGCCGUAAACUCACAAUAAUCCUUCAAAAAUUAUGUUUCAAGUGUCCAAAUGCUAAAACCAAUAUUCUAUAAUUCAUACCUAAGCCUUAUUAGUGAUUUGGAAGGGUUUAAGGUCAUGAAAACCUCAAUUAUAUGAGUUUACGGCCCAAGCAUGAGGCUUGGCCAUAAACUCCUUCAAAGCCUUCAAAAUUCAUGUUUAAAUUGUUAUAAGUCCAAUUCAUGAAGUCAUUAAGUCAUAUCUAGGUCCCAAAAUUGUCUAGAAGGGGUUUAAGGGCUCAAAACCCUUCAAACUUAGUGUUUAGGGCCUAGGCAUCUUCCUGGGCUGUAAACUCAUAUAAUAUGUCCAAUCUCAUGAUUUAAUCUCAAAUUUAGAAGCCAAAUAUGCUAUACAAUGAAGUUAGGAAGGUACCUUAGGGAUUUGAGGCCUUAAAAUUGAGUUUUGGACCCUUAAACUUUGGAUUUAUGAGAGAGGUUAGAGAGAGAGUAGAGAGAGAGGGAAAAAGCUUCAAAUGAAAGGUUUAAUAUGUUUAUAUAGUUCCCAAAACUUGGACACGGUGGAAUUCUACCCGAUACCGGCCUUAAACAAGGCUUUAGGUCGCACCCGAUUGAGUUUCCGUCACCCGGCGGGGACAUUUCUAAAACUUAUGAAAUAAAUAUUUUGGGCUUGUUUCAUGAGUUACUAAAGGGUUUGGACACUCAUUGGAUAAUAAUAAACAUAUAAAUUUAAUUAACUAAACCCAAAAACGACAUCGGAACGUUUCGGCACACGGCGAGUUAUACGGGUAGAACGGGUUUUUCGGCGAUGGAAAACUUCGAGUUGUUACAGAUGUUUUAAUUAAGUAAUGCUUUAUCGCAAAUUUUUCUAAAUUACCUGGACAAAGAGGAAUGAUGUCAUACCUUAAAUUGGAAUAAAUGUUAUGACAAUAAACCACAACACAAAAACCAUCACGACAAGAGAAUUUUUUGUUGUGUAGGCCAUUUAUUUGACAAACAAUAUUGCUUGAUUUUUAUUGUAAGAAUAGAAUUUAAAAAACUAUCGUAGUUUAUGUCGAAUUAGAACUCCUUACAUAGUCAUUCAAGUUAAGCAUAAGAGUUUGUUAGCACCAUUAAUUAAGAUCUUGAAAUUUUAUUAUUAAUGUAUGUUCAUAUUGAAAUUAAAUUAGUAUAUAAAUUGAAAAGGUUAUGUUACGUUUGACAUCAAUUUAAGUGUAUGUGACAUCAUUAAUUUCAAACACAACAUAACCUCUUCUAUUUACAUGCUAAUUUAAUUUCAAUAUGAACAUACAUUAAUAAGAAAAUUUAAAGAUGGUAAUUAAUGGUGCUAACUAACUACUAUGCUCAACUUGAAUGGUGCUAAAGAGUGUUAUGCUUCAGUUGAAUGACUAUUUAAGGAGUGGUAAUCCAACAUAAAGUAUGAUCCUUUCUUAAUUGUAUUCAUACAAUAAAAAUCAAGAAGUAUUGUUCCUCAAGCCAAUGGCCUACACAAAAAAAAGUUCUUUUGUCGUGAUGGUUUUGGUGUUGUAUAUUUGCAUGAUAUGUGUUCCGAUUUUAGGUAUGACAUCAUUCCUAUAUUUUUGGGUAUUUUAGAAAAAUUUACCAUAAAGCAUGAUAUAAUUAAAACAUCUAUAUUGAAUUUUCAUCUAUACAGCUCUUGGCCCAGCAUGUUUUGGACGGUGUGACGCAAUCAGCAUCGAUUGCUUACAGCUUUGCCAAGAACUAGCUUUUGCUACAGGUUCAUGCGAAGCAGGGCCUUCAUCUCAGUGUUGUUGCCAUGAUUAAAUUACUAUUGUGUUAAUAUCCACUUGUAAGGAAUAUGUAUUCCGUAAACCAUCAAAUAAUGGGUUAAUAAUGAUAAAAUAUUUUCAUGGUAUACUGAUGUUACUUUAAACUACAUGAUAAUCCCAUAAAGCUAUUAAAAUAAUUUUAAUUUAGUAAUGUUCGUUUAUUUAUUUGAAUGUGUAACUAAUAAACAAAUAUACAUCACCCAAAAAUUUCAUAAGAUACUACGUUGCCGAAGACUCUUUUGGUAACUCUGAAGAUCAUUUUGUAAGAUUCAAUGUUAUUUUUUUAUAAAAGGGAAACAAUAAAGAUAUAAUAAAAUCGUUUAAUGGGGUAUUCCAAGACGUUACAUCUCUAUGGAACGUCUUUGUCAACUUCAUACUUUGACAUUACUACUACUAUUUACGUAACAUUUUUUUUCCAUUUUUAAAUUUAUGUUUGGGUAAACCUUGGAUUUAGUGAGUCCCUAUGGCAUGUAAGUAGACGUCUACCAUACUAAAUAGUAUGGUUUUAUCUUACUUUUUUAAUUUUAUUUAUGGGUAAGCCAUUGUUGCCUAAGGAAUCUUCGGCCACCGUCGCCAGAAGGGACUAUUGUUAGUAAUAGGGUGAAGCCCAAUUGACAUUUAUCCCGGAUCUGACACCGUUAUCUAUCAAAGGUCACAACAGUUAUCUAUCAAAGGUCACAACAGUUCGAUAUUUUUUUUUUUGGAAUUAGUUGAUAGAAAUAGCAAAGGUAUUCAUUUGUUUGUUAAUUAUAGCCAUAUCAUGUCAACUUUAACAAUCUUUUUCUGUUUCAUAAUCAUCUACGUUGUUUGGGUCAUGGUUAACAAAUUCGUAUCUCACUGCAAUUGUGGUUAAGUUUUCAGCUGUCAAUUACCAAGUUUAACGUUUAAAUUGUCCUUGCUAUGACCACAUCAUUGGAUUUUUAGAAUGUCAUUUAUAGUUAUGAGAUAAAAGAAGAAAUAUUGAUAUUCAAAAUCGGCCUCACCUAUUAAGUCAUUUACCAAGUUUUAGUGUAUUAUCUGCAUGGCUAGUUAUUUAAGAGUAAAAGUAUCAUUUUUUAUCCAAUUACUAAAAAAUAGAUUAAUUUGGGUUAUAUUUUAGGGUUAAGUACAAGAAAGAGCCAUGUAUAUUUAUUAAUUUGUGAUAUUAAUAGCCUAUAGAUGCACUGAUCAUGAUGCUAAUGAAGAUGUUGAAGUCAAUGUACACACAUUUACGAUAGUGAUGUUUCAAUCAUACAUAUUUCACAUAUUACUGAUAUAAAAAUAUUCUGAUAUGAAGGUGUGAAUACCAAAUGAAAAAGGAAAAAAGCAACAACCAUGAAUAAGAUGGAAAUAAGUUUCAUUAGUGCUGCUUCUGUUAGUAGUAGAUAAAGAAGAAAAUUUAACUAAGUGACAACAUGAGAAAUGAAAAUGAAUGUAAAAUCCAAGCCUAAGCUUCAAUUGCACAUGUUAGUGAAUUGUGAAUUAAAUAAAAAAAAUGCCCAAAUGCAUAUUGGAUUAUUGAAGUUAAAAUCGGAGAUAUGAUGUUGGCAUCUUGCUUUUUAACGAUUUGGUAGAGUUAGAAAAUAGUAUUUUAGAUGGAUAAAUAACAAAAAUAUAGUCCAUUAACAUAAUUACAAAAAAUAUAUAGCACUUUAUGUUCUAUAAAGAAAUAUAUUAAAUUGCUUGUAAUGAGAAAUAAUGAAUUACAAAACAAUAUUUUAAAACAAGAUUAUUCAAAUUAAAAGUAAAUUAACUAAUUAAAGAUUUAAAGUAUUAAUAUAAAAAAUGAAACCACGAUUUUAUAAUUCACAAAACUUUAAAAACUUGUUUAAACAUGUCAUUUGAUGAUCAAUUAGUAAAUUUAGUAUAUUUAUCUAAAAUUAAUAAUUUAAAUUAUUCAAUACAGUUAAUUUUGGAUAAUGCAAUAUACCAAUGUUUGUACGUAAAAAUGUUUCCUGAUAGUUGAUAUUUGAAUAAAAAAAUGGUAUUGUGUUAUAAAUAAGAUUAUUAUAAUAUAUUUAGAAAAGAGUUUCUUACUUCUAUAUAACUGAAUAGAUUAAGUUAAUAAGAUAAAACAAUAUUUAUAUAAAAUGAAUAUUCAAAACUGAAUGAUACAUAGUAACUUAAAUUGACAAAUAUAAAAAUAAAUGAGACAUAACAUUUGAGAUACAUAUACAAGUCAAAUUUACAUUUGCAUUAAAAAUAUAGUAAGAAUUUUGCAUUGUUAGAAAGUUGGUUUUAGUUGAUAUCUGGAAUGGUUUUUUAUGCCUAGAGAUUACACUUUAAAGCGGUAAAAAAUCAAAAAAAUAAGUUCGCUUUUAAGAUAUAUGUGACUUGUUAAAUAUAACCUCACUUGCUUACAUUUUGAAACGUCAUCGCAUUUGUAGAAUUUAAAACUUAUGGCAAAUGAAAUAUAGUUUAAUAUGUAAAAUUACGCCAAUAAAAAACUCAAUAUGCGUCAGGCAUCUUAAAUUAUUUAAAAGAUGUGUAAAUUUAUUUAUGAAAAUAGUAAUGGGAUCUGAUAACAAAGCUUGUCUAGAUAUAAAUCAUAAAAAGCACUCUCAAUGUCAUUACUUCUUCUCACUUCUUUGGUUGCAUUCCUAACUAAUAUGGAAAAAAUCAAUUCCAGAUUUGCAAGACUAAGAAUGAAAAGUACAAUGCUAUAUUGCUUAAAAUAUUGCAAUGUGCAAUGUAUUUGAUGAGAAAAUGAUUGACAGUACAAUCCUAAAAUUCUUGAAACUCAAAAUCCAAUUAAAAACAAAAAAAUUUACAAUCAUAGAUUCUGAAAUCAAACAAUUACAUGAAAUUAAUUUUUACUUUUGUUUCAUAGAUUUAUUAGGCUUGCCAGUGAUGUUCUUUACUUCAAGUGUGAUAAAUUAUGACAAGAUGUUAAGAAUUAUGUUUUUAUUGUAUAAUAGAUUACCUUUUGCUUCAGUGUACAACAUCUAAUAUGAAUAUAUACCAUAAAACUAUCCAUCUAAAAUACUUUUUUUUAACUUUACCAAACAGUUAAAAAACAUGUUACCAACAUCAUAUCUCCGAUUUCAACUUCAAUAAUCCAAUACGCAUUUGGGCAUUUUUAUUUAAUUCACAGUUCAAUAACAUGUAUAAUUUUAGCUUGGGCCUUGAGUUUUCCUACCAUUUCUUUUGUCAUGUUGUUGUUGUGUUAAAUUUUCGUCCCUAUCUACAACUAACAGAAGCAGUACUAUCAAAAAAAAUUUCCUUCUUAUUCGUGGUUGUUGCUUUUUCCCUUUUCAUUUGGUAUUCACACCUUUAUAUCAGAAUAUUUUAUAUCAAUAAUAUGUGAAAUAUGUAUGAUUGAAUGAUCGCCAUCAUAAUUGCAUGUACAUUAGUUUCAACAUCAUCAUUAGCAUCAUGAUCAGUGCAUCUAAGGAUUAUUAAUAUCCCAAAUUAAAAUACGCAUGACUCUUUCUUGUACUUAAACCUAAAAUACAACCCAAAUCAAUCUAUUUUUUAGUAAUUGGAUCAAAAUUGCAACUUUUACUUAUAAAUAACUAGCCAUUUAGAUAAUACAUUGAAACUUGGUAAAUAACUUAAUAAGCGAGGCCUCUGUUGAAAAUCAACAUUUCUAUUUUAUCUUAUGAUGAUUAACACCAUUCAAAAAAUCCAAUGAUGUGGUCAUAUCAAGGUCAAUUAAACAUAAAACUUGGUAAAUGACAGCUAAGAAGCCUACCCACAAUUGCGAUGACAUACCAAUUUGUUAACCAUGACCCAAGCAUGAUAACUGGUUAUGAAACAUAAAAAACUUCUUAAAGUUGACAACAUAUGGCUAAAAUAAACAAAGAAAUUAAUAAACUUUGUUAUUUCUUGCAAUUAAUCACAAAAGAAAAAAAAUCAAAGUGUCGUGACCUUUGAUAUAUCACGGUGAAAGACCUUGGAUAAAUAUUAACCAGGUUCCACCCUAUAACUCACAGUAGUCCCUUCCGACGACGGUAUGGUGGUUUACCCAAACAUAAAUUUUAAAAAGUAUGAUAAGACAAUAUUAUUUAUUAUGGUAGCAGUGUACUUGCAUGAGUUUUCCACGGGAGUAGUUUAUAACUAUUAAUCCAUUAUUUGAUGGUUUACGAAAUAUAUAUUUCUUACAAGUGGAUAUUAACACAAUUAUAAUUUAAUCAUGGAAAUAACACUCAGAUGAAGGCCCUGCUUCGCAUGAACCUGUAGCAAAAGCUAGUUCUUGGCAAAGUUGUAAGCAAUCGAUGUUGAUUGCGUCACACCUUCCAAAACAUGCUGGUCCAAGAGUUGUACGGGUGGAAACUCAAAAUAGAUAAUUUUAAUUAAAUCAUGCUUUAUCGUAACGUUUUCUAAAUUACCCGAACAAAGAGGAAUGACGUCAUACCUAAAAUCGGAAUACAUGUCAUGAAAAUAAACCACAACACAAAAACCAUCACGACAAGAGAAUUUUUUGUUGUGUAGGCCAUUUAUUUGACAAACAAUAUUGCUUGAUUUUUAUUGUAAGAAUAGAAUUAAAAAAACGAUGUUAGUUUAUGUCGAAUUAGAACUCCUUACAUAGUCAUUCAAGUGAAGCAUAAACUUGUCAGCAUCGUUCAAUUUGAGCAUAACAGUUUGUUAGCACCAUUAAUUAAGAUCUUGAAAUUUUAUUAUUAAUGUAUGUUCAUACUGAAAUUAAAGUAGUAUAUAAAUUGAAGAGGUUAUGUUACGUUUGAUAUCAAUUUAAGUGUAUGUUACAUCAUUAAUUUCAAACACAACAUAACCUCUUCUAUUUACAUGCUAAUUUAAUUUCAAUAUGAACAUACAUUAAUAAGAAAAUUUAAAGAUGGUAAUUAAUGGUGCUAACUAACUACUAUGCUCAACUUGAAUGGUGCUAAAGAGUGUUAUGCUUCAGUUGAAUGACUAUUUAAGGAGUGGUAAUCCAACAUAAAGUAUGAUCCUUUCUUAAUUGUAUUCAUACAAUAAAAAUCAAGAAGUAUUGUUCCUCAAGCCAAUGGCCUACACAAAGAAAAGUUCUUUUGUCGUGAUGGUUUUGAUGUUGUAUAUUUGCAUGAUAUGUGUUCCGAUUUUAGGUAUGACAUCAUUCCUCUAUUUUUGGGUAUUUUAGAAAAAUUUACCAUAAAGCAUGAUAUAAUUAAAACAUCUAUAUUGAAUUUUCAUCUAUACAGCACUUGGCCCAGCAUGUUUUGGACGGUGUGACGCAAUCAGCAUCGAUUGCUUACAGCUUUGCCAAGAACUAGCUUUUGCUACAGGUUCAUGCGAAGCAGGGCCUUCAUCUCAGUGUUGUUGUCAUGAUUAAAUUACUAUUGUGUUAAUAUCCACUUGUAAGGAAUAUAUAUUCCGUAAACCAUCAAAUAAUGGGUUAAUAAUGAUAAAAUAUUUUAGUGGUAUACUGAUGUUACGUUAAACUACAUGAUAUUCCCAUAAAGCUAUUAAAAAAAAUUUUAAUUUAGUAAUGUUCAUUUAUUUAUUUGAAUGUGUAACUAAUAAACAAAUAUACAUCACCCAAAAAUUUCAUAAGUUACUACGUUGCCGAAGCCACUUUUAGUAACUCUGAAGAUCAUUUUGUAAGAUUCAAUGUUAUUUUUUUAUAAAAGGGAAACAAUAAAGAUAUAAUAAAAUUGUUUAAUGGGGUAUUCCAAGAUGUUACAUCUCUAUGGAACGUCUUUGUCAACUUCACACUUUGACAUUACUAAUACUAUUUAUGUAAUAUUUUUUUUCCAUUUUUAAAUUUAUGUUUGGGUAAACCUUGGCUUUAGUGAGUCCCCUAUGACAUGUAAGUAGACGUCUACCAUACUAAAUAGUAUGGUUUUAUCUUACUUUUUAAAUUUUAUUUAUGGGUAAGCCAGUGUUUCCUAAGGAAUCUUCGGCCACCGUCGCCAGAAGGGACUAUUGUUAGUAAUAGGGUGAAGCCCAAUUGACAUUCAUCCCGGAUCUGACACCGUUAUCUAUCAAAGGUCAAAACAGUUCGAUAUUUUUUUUUGGAAUUAGUUGAUAGAAAUACCUAAGGUAUUCAUUUAUUUGUUUAUUAUAGCCAUAUCUUGUCAACUUUGACAAUCUUUUUCUGUUUUAUAAUGAUCUACGUUGUUUGGGUCAAGGUUAACAAAUUGGUAUCUCAUUGCAAUUGUGGUUAAGCUUUUUAGCUGUCAAUUACCAAGUUUAACGUUUAAAUUGACCUUGCUAUGACCACAUCAUUGGAUUUUUAGAAUGUCAUUUAUAGUUAUGAGAUAAAAGAAAAAAUAUUGAUAUUCAAAAGCGGCCUCACCUAUUAAGUCAUUUACCAAGUUUUAGCGUAUUAUCUGCAUGGCCAGUUAUUUAAGAGUAAAAGUAUCAUUUUUUAUCCAAUUACUAAAAAAUAGAUUGAUUUGGGUUAUAUUUUUGGGUUAAGUAAAAGAAAGAGCCAUGUGUAUUUAUUAAUUUGUGAUAUUAAUAGCCAAUAGAUGCACUGAUCAUGAUGCUAAUGAAGAUGUUGAAGUCAAUGUACAUACAUUUACGAUUGUGAUGUUUCAAUCAUACAUAUUUCACAUAUUACUGAUAUAAAAAUAUUCUGAUAUGAAGGUGUGAACACCAAAUGAAAAAGGAAAAAAGCAACUGUAACAACCCGAAGUUGUUCAUCGCCGGAAACCCGUUCUACCCGAAUAACUCGUCAGAAAUCGAAAUGUCCUGUUAUCGUUUUUGGGUUUAGUUAACUAAAAUUUUAUAUUUAUUUUCGUUCAAUGAGGGUCCAAAUCAUUUAGGAACUCAUGAAUUUAGUCCAAAACAUUUAUUUCAUAAGUUUUAGAAAUAUCCUCGUCGGGUGACGAAAACUCAAUCGGGUGCGACCCAAAGCAUCGUUUAAGGCCGGUAUCGGGUAGAAUUCCACCGUGUCCAAGUUUUAGGAACUAUAUAAACAUGUUUAAGCACUCAUUUGAAGCUUUUUCCUUCUCUCUCUACUCUCUCUCUAACCUCUCUCCUAAAUCCAAAGAUUAAGUGUCCAAAACUCAAAUUUAAGGCUUCAAAUCCUUAAGGUACCUUCCUAGCCUUAAUCUAUAGCAUGUUUAGCUUCCAAAUUAGACACUUAAUCAUGAAAUUGGACAAUAUAUGUGAGUUUACGGCCCAGGAGGCUGCCUAGGCCGUAAACACCAUUUUGAAGGGUUUUUAGCCCUUAAACUCCUUCCUAGACUCAAUUGGACUUUAGAUAUGGCUAAGGGACUUCAAGAUAUGGACUUAGAACACUUAAAACUUUGAUUUUGAGGACUUUGAAGGAGUUUACGGCCAAGGCAUAAGCUUGGGCCGUAAACUCAUGUUAAUGGGGUUUUUCAUGCCUUUAAACCCUUCCAAAUCACCUCUAUGGCUUAGAUAUGAAUUAUAGGACCUUGGUAUUAGCAUUUGGACACUUGAAACAUGAUUUUUGGGGGACUUAGAUGAGUUUACGGCCAAGGAUAGUGCUUGGGCCGUAAACUCCCCAAAACUUGGCAUAAAUCCAAUUCUAAGGUGUUAGAAAGCCAUCCAACACCACCAAAAGCCUUGGAAUAAAUCAAGGGACCAACCAAAAAUACUUUAAAGGCCUUAAACACAUCUUUUAUGGGAUUUCUAAGAGUUUACGGCCAAGACCUGUUCUUGGGCCGUAAACUCCAAAAUUUUUGGUGUUAGAAUGCAAACUAAACACCCCUACAGCCUUUAGAUGAAUUUUAGAAGUCCUUUCAUGCAAGUUUUAGACCUUGAAACACAUUGUAGCUUGACAUAUUAGAGUUUACGGCCAUGAAGGGGGUUUCAUGGGCCUUAAACUCCAUAAAUCCCUCAUAUGUCCCAUAUAAACUCAUUUCUAGGCUUGUGGAAAUUUUUAGAAUCACAUGUGAUUGGUUUUAACAACAUUUAGCACGAUUUUCAUGAGGAUUAAGGAGUUUACGGCCAGGAGCCUAUACUAGGCCGUAAACUCCCAUAAAUUAAUCAUUUUGGUGAUUUUAAUCCAUUCCAUGCAUUUAGAACAAAGCCUAGAAUCAUUUCCCAUGUCCAUGUAAGCCAUUUAAGCCAUUUAAACACCCAAAACCACACCCACAUGAGUUUACGGCCGUAAACUCAUGUAUGUGUGUGUUUUGUGGUUGUAAACUCAUUUAAAAGUUUACUCAUGGGGAGUAAACUCAAGUCCCAAGUCCCUAGUGUCAUUUCACAUCCUUAAACGCCACCCGGGUCCCUCCAAACACUCGUAUCGGAGUGUUUUCGCGACUAGAAGCAAUGGUCCCUAUCCAACAAUCAAUCUAAGUCCUAAUUAGAUACAAAUGUGUAUCUUUACAUUAUAAUUAGGAACCUCGUGUAUUUACAAGCCCCGGAUCAACUCUUAGCAUCCAAAUCGUCAUACUUCUCGUCCGGUGAGUUCAUACCCCUACGCCUUUUUCACUGUUUUUAACUGUUUUCAGGGGGGGAAUACAAGCAAACCAAAACUGUUUUCAAAUCAUAACAUUUAUGUGUUUCAAAUAAUAUCUGGCAAACUUAUAAACUCUUAUACUCCUUAUGUAUUAUGUUGAGCAUAAGGAAUGAUUUAUCAAUUACAACUAAAUGGAUUUUAGUUAAGAAAAUAAUCAAACUAAUCAAAUUAUUAUGGGAAUAAUUUGGGGUUCUAUGUUUCUCAUUAUAUCAUGUACUGAUAUCUGUAUUAAGUUAUUAGAUAAACUAUGUCUGAUUCAGUUUAUCUCCGUAUCAUUCGAAUGUUUUGCCAGAUAGUUUCAUUGUAUAUAUCUAUUUUCACUGUAUCAUGUCUUGAAAUCUUUGUAUGUUUGGUAUCGUAUUGGAACCCUGUGAAUAGUUAAUACUAGCUUGUGAGAUAGUCACUACCCUUUAUGGAUGAUCAAGUAAAUCCUCUCCGGAAGUGUAACCAGAGUCUCCUGGAGGGAGAGCGAGGAAUUUGUGAAUAGAUCUAUUCGGGACUGACAAUCCCACACCUUAACUGCUAGCUACAGUUAGGCGGGCACGCCUGGGGUGACAAAUUCUGUAUAUCAUUCGACGUCUGACUAACGUCAAGGAGGUCUCGUUGUCAUAUCAGCAUGGUUACCCGACUCACAAUACGUAUUAAUAUAAACUUAUUCACAGCUAGGAUUUGUUUAGAAUCUAUAUCUUGUUCGGGAUGGUAAUCCCAUGGUCUUGUAAUCUAUAUCUCGUUCGGGAUGGUAAUCCCAUGGUUUUAUGUCUAUAUCUCGUUCGGGAUGAUAAUCCCAUGAUCUUGUGUCUAUAUUUCGUUCGGGAUGGCAAUCCCAUGGUUUUGAAACUAAAUCUUAUACGGGAUGAUAAUCCCAUGAUUUUAUCAAGCUAUCUUAUAUCUAGUUUCGGGAUAGUGAUCCCAUGGUUUAUCAAGCUAUCUUAUAUCUAUUUUCGGGAUAGUGAUCCCAUGGUCUUUAUCGAAUUAUCUUAUAACUGGUUCGGGAUGUAGUCCCAAGGUUUUCAAAAUACUUUCUAUUUACAGUUCGUCUAAAUUAUAGUUUUGUAUAUUAAACUAUACUAUGUGUUAUUCAAUCAAUCUUACAUUUAGGAAAAUAUGGGAUUUUCCUGGGGUUAACUUAUAUCUGUAACAGAACUGUAAUGAAAGAUAACUUAACUACUUUACAUAAGAAAAUAUGGGAUUUUCUUGGAUAUCAAAUCUUUUCAGAAAACUAAAGGAAAUCGAUACAUUUUCACAAAACAAAACCGCUUAUGAACUCACCAGCUUUAUGCUGAUUUUCAAACUGCUUGUAUUCUCAGGUCCAAGUUAGACAGGUACCCGGCGAUAUCUUUUGGUGAAGACGGAGUGCUCCGAAGACUCGUCUCUUUUGUUCAUAUGAUAUAUGUAUAACUUUUGUACAAUUUACUUUUGAACCAAAUGUAAACUUUCAUAUAUAUGUAAUGUAAUGGUUGUUUACUGUGAUUACUAUGUACAUUGGAUUUGAUACACAACAUGGAGUCAACCCCGGGAACGUUUCCGCCUUUGGUUUUCGGGGUGUGACAGAUUGGUAUCAGAGCCCUUGUUUAUAGUGAACAGAGUAUACCAAACCUUACAUGGUAUAAAACUAUAAACAUUAAGGGGCCUAAGUGCUCUGAACUAAAAGUAUCCUACAAAAUAUAAGUAUUUUCAAAAGUAUUUAAGUAUGCCGAGCCGUCGAAAUCCGUAACUAUAAGUAGAACAAAACAUAAGUAAAUGGGUGUUGUACGCUGCGGUUAAACCUGGGCAGUUAUGUAGUCGUGUCUAGGGUCAAUAUAGCCUGGCCAACUAUAUUCAUUCGAGACACGGCCAACAUGUGCUUGGGAGUGACUGUGGCAUGCGGCAUACCUAAAACUUACCCAAUAUCCCAAACAACAAAUCGUCGCUGCAGCGAACCAUGAAAUACUAUGGGAGUAUUUCUCGAGCCGAUCCUUUGUAGAAAUUCUCGUAUACGCGUUAUUCCUUGAUCAUUCCUCUAGCGAUAAAAUGUUCUAUCUUGAUAACUCCUUUCUGCUUUAUCGCUUUGUAUGAUGCUAUAUUUGCCUUGAUGAGAUAUCUCCUGUCCCAUAUCUCUUGAUUCAAUUCAGAGGACUUAUGAUCCUCUCUUUCCUGAUCUUUUUAGAUCAAGAUGCCUCCAAGAAAGAGACCCAGCUCAACGAACAACAACAAUCCUCCUCUUCAACUUGAUCUUGCAUCGCUUCAGACAGUUCUGACUGCUGCAAUGGUAGCAGCCAUGUCGCAAAUGAACUCUAGAAAUUCAGGAGGUGAUCCCCAACACCAAAACCCAGAAGAUAGCCAGGGACACCAAAAAGGGGGUUCCUAUAAAGACUUCAUGAACGCAAAACCGACAUUCUUCGAUGGCACAGGGGGUGUCAUUGCCUUAACCCGAUGGUUCGAGAGAAUCGAAUCAAUCUUUGAAAUAUGUGGCUGUUCGGAGUCUGAUAGAGUCAAGUUUGCCGCCUGUACCUUCCUAGACAAAGCCCUGACUUGGUGGAAUGGCCGAGUCAAAUCCUUAACUUUACCUGUAGCCAAUGCUAUGGGUUGGGAAGCUAUGAAGGAGCUUCUUCUCGCUGAGUAUUGCCCUCGGGGCGAACUUCAGAAGCUAGAACAUGAACUUUGGAACCUUAAGAUGAAGGGUUCCGACAUAGCUGCUUAUACCUCAAGAUUCGAUGAUUUGGCAUUACUUUAUCCGGGAAUGGUUACCCCGGAAGGUAAAAAGAUAGAGAGGUUCAUUUGGGGGUUGACCCAGCCAACAAAGGGGAAUGUCUUGGCUGCGAAGCCAGACACUUAUGACAGUGCCAAGUGCCUUGCGAAAAUCCUGAUAGAUCACGAAGACAACUCUGAUGAAGAAGCUACUACCCCCGAGCCAGUCACUAGUGGAGGCGGAAGUAAAAGGAAAUCCUGGAACAAGCGUAAGGCCCAGAGUACGCAAGGGUCUUCUAAGAAACAGCAAACGGUAGCAGUCCAUGCUGCUACUGCCCCUGUUGCUGUUUCAGCUGUAGGUUCCACAGCUCAAACUCCUGCCAGUGGAUACACUGGUACCCUUCCUUGGUGUGGUAAGUGUAACUACCACCACCGCAUUCCUGGACCAUGUCGCGAAAGGAUCUGCGACAACUGUGGCAAUAAGGGCCAUCUUGCGCGAACCUGCAGAAAACCAGCCAAACCAACGAACCAAUCAUCUGGAACGGGAAUCAGUCCGGCCUGCUACAAUUGUGGUGAAGCUGGGCACUUCAAAAGGAAUUGUCCCAAGACAGCUACAACCACAAAUCCCUCUGCUGCCGCAGGUAUAUCUCUCUUUGAUAAUUCUUAUACUUGCAACUCUUUUCGAUUUUGGGUGCAAAAAGGGAAACCUGUUAUCUAUCUAUUCGAAAGUAUUCUAAACUCAAUCCUUCGCAUGUAAUCGAAACGUGUACCGUCGAGACAACUAACUAGUGAGAUAGAGAACAUUAACUUCGUACCUGUAGAUUGAAUCCUCGGUCCGGAGGACUAUUCUAUUCCAUUCGAUUUAUAAAGGGGGAAACUUUCCAUGAAAAUACUUUGAUGCCACGUUUAACCAGAAAUGACCGAGUCUCAUUCAUAUUGUUAUCCUUACUUUCGAAAGGGUCGCUCGUCUAGAUUUCUUUCUCGACCCGGUUCUCGUGAUCUUCGGCAUCAAACUUCCGUAUCAUUUUAUACUUUAGAACUCAAAAGUUUUCCCAAUGUGAAUUAUCACGCAUCCCUCAUUUCUGUGAUUAUUGAGAAACGGGAAGUUAGCAACUAUUCCCUCUAAAUGACUAUCCCGAAGGAUUCCCGGGAGUUUCUUUCGAGCCUCUAGUUUAAUCCCACAUCAAACCUUUCGAGAUCUUCGUAGAGAUCGAUUCAGUAACCUUCAAGUUUCGGAUGCCCUUAGAGCUUGGUAAUAUCUAUCUAGACCAUCAUGUCUCGAAUCCUUAGAAGCGUCUGCCCAACGAAACCCUAAUGAUUCCUUGAAGAAACCGAAGUCGUUCAAGGUUGGAACUUCCACGAGGAAGCAGAUUGAUAUCGUAGAUUGAGAGAGAGUCAAGAAGCAAAACCAAGACAAGUCCCGAUAAUGAGAAUUCGUUAGAACGCCCAAUAGAAACCUGAUUCCACUUGAGAAAGUGAAGAUCCGAAGCAACAAAUCCAUCCGUAUCUCAUUCCAAUCCAUGACCUAUAUCUUAUUCUUUGAAUUUCGGGACGAAAUUCCCUCUAACGGGGGGAUAAUGUAACAACCCGAAGUUGUUCAUCGCCGAAAACCCGUUCUACCCGAAUAACUCGUCAGAAAUCGAAAUGUCCUGUUAUCGUUUUUGGGUUUAGUUAACUAAAAUUAUAUGUUUAUUUUCAUUCAAUGAGGGUCCAAAUCAUUUAGGAACUCAUGAAUUUAGCUCAAAACAUUUAUUUCAUAAGUUUUAGAAAUAUCCUCGUCGGGUGACGAAAACUCAAUCGGGUGCGACCCAAAGCAUCGUUUAAGGCCGGUAUCGGGUAGAAUUCCACCGUGUCCAAGUUUUAGGGACUAUAUAAACAUGUUUAAGCACUCAUUUGAAGCUUUUUCCUUCUCUCUCUACUCUCUCUCUAACCUCUCUCCUAAAUCCAAAGAUUAAGUGUCCAAAACUCAAAUUUAAGGCUUCAAAUCCUUAAGGUACCUUCCUAGCCUUAAUCUAUAGCAUGUUUAGCUUCCAAAUUAGACACUUAAUCAUGAAAUUGGACAAUAUAUGUGAGUUUACGGCCCAGGAGGCUGCCUAGGCCGUAAACACCAUUUUGAAGGGUUUUUAGCCCUUAAACUCCUUCCUUAACUCAAUUGGACUUUAGAUAUGGCUAAGGGACUUCAAGAUAUGGACUUAGAACACUUAAAACUAUGAUUUUGAGGACUUUGAAGGAGUUUACGGCCAAUGCAUAAGCUUGGGCCGUAAACUCAUAUUAAUGGGGUUUUUCAUGCCUUUAAACCCUUCCAAAUCACCUCUAUGGCUUAGAUAUGAAUUAUAGGGCCUUGGUAUUAGCAUUUGGACACUUGAAACAUNNNNNNNNNNNNNNNNNNNNNNNNNNNNNNNNNNNNNNNNNNNNNNNNNNNNNNNNNNNNNNNNNNNNNNNNNNNNNNNNNNNNNNNNNNNNNNNNNNNNNNNNNNNNNNNNNNNNNNNNNNNNNNNNNNNNNNNNNNNNNNNNNNNNNNNNNNNNNNNNNNNNNNNNNNNNNNNNNNNNNNNNNNNNNNNNNNNNNNNNNNNNNNNNNNNNNNNNNNNNNNNNNNNNNNNNNNNNNNNNNNNNNNNNNNNNNNNNNNNNNNNNNNNNNNNNNNNNNNNNNNNNNNNNNNNNNNNNNNNNNNNNNNNNNNNNNNNNNNNNNNNNNNNNNNNNNNNNNNNNNNNNNNNNNNNNNNNNNNNNNNNNNNNNNNNNNNNNNNNNNNNNNNNNNNNNNNNNNNNNNNNNNNNNNNNNNNNNNNNNNNNNNNNNNNNNNNNNNNNNNNNNNNNNNNNNNNNNNNNNNNNNNNNNNNNNNNNNNNNNNNNNNNNNNNNNNNNNNNNNNNNNNNNNNNNNNNNNNNNNNNNNNNNNNNNNNNNNNNNNNNNNNNNNNNNNNNNNNNNNNNNNNNNNNNNNNNNNNNNNNNNNNNNNNNNNNNNNNNNNNNNNNNNNNNNNNNNNNNNNNNNNNNNNNNNNNNNNNNNNNNNNNNNNNNNNNNNNNNNNNNNNNNNNNNNNNNNNNNNNNNNNNNNNNNNNNNNNNNNNNNNNNNNNNNNNNNNNNNNNNNNNNNNNNNNNNNNNNNNNNNNNNNNNNNNNNNNNNNNNNNNNNNNNNNNNNNNNNNNNNNNNNNNNNNNNNNNNNNNNNNNNNNNNNNNNNNNNNNNNNNNNNNNNNNNNNNNNNNNNNNNNNNNNNNNNNNNNNNNNNNNNNNNNNNNNNNNNNNNNNNNNNNNNNNNNNNNNNNNNNNNNNNNNNNNNNNNNNNNNNNNNNNNNNNNNNNNNNNNNNNNNNNNNNNNNNNNNNNNNNNNNNNNNNNNNNNNNNNNNNNNNNNNNNNNNNNNNNNNNNNNNNNNNNNNNNNNNNNNNNNNNNNNNNNNNNNNNNNNNNNNNNNNNNNNNNNNNNNNNNNNNNNNNNNNNNNNNNNNNNNNNNNNNNNNNNNNNNNNNNNNNNNNNNNNNNNNNNNNNNNNNNNNNNNNNNNNNNNNNNNNNNNNNNNNNNNNNNNNNNNNNNNNNNNNNNNNNNNNNNNNNNNNNNNNNNNNNNNNNNNNNNNNNNNNNNNNNNNNNNNNNNNNNNNNNNNNNNNNNNNNNNNNNNNNNNNNNNNNNNNNNNNNNNNNNNNNNNNNNNNNNNNNNNNNNNNNNNNNNNNNNNNNNNNNNNNNNNNNNNNNNNNNNNNNNNNNNNNNNNNNNNNNNNNNNNNNNNNNNNNNNNNNNNNNNNNNNNNNNNNNNNNNNNNNNNNNNNNNNNNNNNNNNNNNNNNNNNNNNNNNNNNNNNNNNNNNNNNNNNNNNNNNNNNNNNNNNNNNNNNNNNNNNNNNNNNNNNNNNNNNNNNNNNNNNNNNNNNNNNNNNNNNNNNNNNNNNNNNNNNNNNNNNNNNNNNNNNNNNNNNNNNNNNNNNNNNNNNNNNNNNNNNNNNNNNNNNNNNNNNNNNNNNNNNNNNNNNNNNNNNNNNNNNNNNNNNNNNNNNNNNNNNNNNNNNNNNNNNNNNNNNNNNNNNNNNNNNNNNNNNNNNNNNNNNNNNNNNNNNNNNNNNNNNNNNNNNNAGCUAGAUUUUGUUUAGAAUCUAUAUCUUGUUCGGGAUGGUAAUCCCAUGGUCUUGUAAUCUAUAUCUCGUUCGGGAUGGUAAUCCCAUGGUUUUAUGUCUAUAUCUCGUUCGGGAUGAUAAUCCCAUGAUCUUGUGUCUAUAUUUCGUUCGGGAUGGCAAUCCCAUGGUUUUGAAACUAAAUCUUAUACGGGAUGAUAAUCCCAUGAUUUUAUCAAUCUAUCAUAUAUCUAGUUUCGGGAUAGUGAUCCCAUGGUUUAUCGAGCUAUCUUAUAUCUACUUUCGGGAUAGUGAUCCCAUGGUUUUUAUCGAAUUACCUUAUAACUGGUUCGGGAUGUAGUCCCAAGGUUUUCAAAAUGCUUUCUAUUUACAGUUCAUCUAAAUUAUAGUUUUGUGUAUUAAACUAUACUAUGUGUUAUCCAAUCAAUCUUACAAUUAGGAAAAUAUGGGAUUUUCCUGGGGUUAACUUAUAACUUGUAACAGAACUGUAACGAAAGAUAACUUAACUACUUUACAUAAGAAAAUAUGGGAUUUUCUUGGAUAUCAAAUCUUUUCAGAAAACUAAAGGAAAUCGAUACAUUUUCACAAAACAAAACCGCUUAUGAACUCACCAGCUUUAUGCUGAUUUUCAAACUGCUUGUAUUCUCAGGUCCAAGUUAGACAGGUACCCGGCGAUAUCUUUUGGUGAAGAUGGAGUGCUCCGAAGACUCGUCUCUUUUGUUCAUAUGAUAUAUGUAUAACUUUUGUACAAUUUACUUUUGAACCAAAUGUAAACUUUCACAUAUAUGUAAUGUAAUGGUUGUUUACUGUGAUUACUAUGUACAUUGGAUUUGAUACACAACAUGGAGUCAACCCCGGGAACGUUUCCGCCUUUGGUUUUCGGGGUGUGACAGCAACAGCCACGAAUAAGAUGGAAAUAAGUUUUAGUAGUGUUGCUUCUGUUAGUAGUAGAUAAAGAAGAAAAUUUAACUAAGUAACAACAUAAGAAAUAAAAAUGAAUGUAAAAUCAAGGCCCAAGCUUCAAUUGCACAUGUUAGUGAAUUGUGAAUUAAAUAACAAAAUGCCCAAAUGCAUAUUGGAUUAUUGAAGUUAAAAUCGGAGAUAUGAUGUUGGCAUCUUGCUUUUUAACGAUUUGGUAGAGUUAGAAAAUAGUAUUUUAGAUGGAUAAAUAACAAAAAUAUAGUCCAUUAACAUAAUUACAAAAAAUAUAUAACACUUUAUUUUCUAUAAAGAAAUAUAUUAAAUUGCUUGUAAUGAGAAAUAAUGAAUUACAAAACGAUAUUUUAAAAUAAGAUUAUUGAAAUUAAAAGUAAAUUAACUAAUUAAAGAUUUAAAGCAUUAAUAUAAAAAAAUGAAACCACGAUGUUAUAAUUCACAAAACUGUAAAAACUUGUUUAAACAUAUCAUUUGAUGAUCAAUUAGUAAAUUUAGUAUAUUUAUCUAAAAUUAAUAAUUUAAAUUAUUCAAUACAGUUAAUUUUGGAUAAUGCAAUAUACAACUGUUUGUACGUAAAAAUGUUUCCUGAUAGUUGAUAUUUGAAUAAAAAAAAUGGUAUUGUGUUAUAAAUAAGAUUAAUAUAAUAUAUUUAAAAAAGAGUUUAUUACUUCUAUAUAACUUAAUAGAUUAAGUUAAUAACAUAAAAACAAUAUUUAUAUAAAAUGAAUAUUCAAAACUGAAUGAUACAUAGUAACUUAAAUUGACAAAUAUAAAAAAAAUGAGACAUAACAUUUGAGAUACAUAUAAAGUAAAAUUUACAUUUGCAUUAAAAAUAUAGUAAGGAUUUUGCAUUGUUAGAAAGUUGGUUUUAGUUGAUAUCUGGAAUGGUUUUUUAUGCCUAGAGAUUUCACUUUAAAAAAGUAAAAAAUCAAAAAAAAAAAAAAAUAAAUAAGUUAGCUUUUAAGAUAUAUUUGACUUGUUAAAUAUAUCGUAACUUGCUUACAUUUUGAAACGUCAUUGCAUUUGUAGAAUUUAGAACUUAUGGCAAAUGAAAUAUAGUUUAAUAUGUAAAAUUACGACAAUAAAAAACUCAAUAUGCAUCAGACAUCUUAAAUUAUUUAAAAGGCGUGUAAAUUUAUUUAUGAAAAUAGUAAUGGGACCUGAUAACAAAGCUUGUCUAGAUAUAAAUCAUAGAAAGCACUCUCAAUGUCAUUACUGCUUCUCACUUCUUUGGUAGCAUUCCUAACUAAUAUGGAAAAAAUCAAUUCCAGAUUUGCAAGACUAAGAAUGAAAAGUACAAUGCUAUAUUGCUUAAAAUUUUGCAAUGUGCAAUGUAUUUGAUGAGAAAAUGAUUGACAGUACAAUCCUAAAAUUCUUGAAACUCAAAAUCCAAUUAAAAACAAAAAAAUUUAUUGUCAUAGAUUCCGAAAUCAAACAAUUACAUGAAAUUAAUUUUUACUUUUGUUUCAUAGAUUUAUUAGGCUUGGCAGUUAUGUUCUUUACUUAAAGUAUGAUAAAUUAUGACAAGAUUGGUUAAGAAUUAUGUUUUUAUUGUAUAAUAGAUUACUUUUUGCUUCAGUGUACAACAUCUAAUAUGAAUAUAUACCAUAAAACUAUCCAUCUAAAAUACGUUUUUUUAACUUUACCAAACAGUUAAAAAACAUGUUACCAACAUCAUAUCUCUGAUUUCAACUUCAAUAAUCCAAUACGCAUUUGGUCAUUUUUAUUUAAUUCACAGUUCAAUAACAUGUAUAAUUUUACCUUGGGCCUUAAUUUUUCCUUCCAUUUCUUUUGUCAUGUUGCUGCUUUGUUAAACUUUCGUCCUUAUCUACUACUAACAGAAGCAGUACUAUCAAAACUUUUUUCCUUCUUAUUCGUGGUUGUUGCUUUUUCCCUUUUCAUUUGGUAUUCACACCUUUAUAUCGGAAUAUUUUUAUAUCAAUAAUAUGUGAAAUAUGUAUGAUUGAAUGAUCGCCAUGAUAAUUGCAUGUACAUUAGUUUCAACAUCAUCAUUAGCAUCAUGAUCAGUGCAUCUAAAGAUUAUUAAUAUCCCAAAGUUGCUACUUUUACUUAUAAAUAACUAGCCAUGUAGAUAAUACAUUGAAACUUGGUAAAUAACUUAAUAAGCGAGGCCUCUGUUGAAAAUCAAUAUUUCUAUUUUAACUUAUGACGAUAAACACCAUUCAAAAAAUCCAAUGAUGUGGUUAUAUAAGGGUCAAUUAAAAAUAAAACUUGGUAAAUGACAGCUAAGAAGCCUACCCACAAUUGCGAUGACAUACCAAUUUGUUAACCAUGACCCAAGCAUGAUAACUGGUUAUGAAACAUAAAAAACUUCUUAAAGUUGACAACAUAUGGCUAAAAUAAACAAAUAAAUUAAUAAACUUUGUUAUUUCUUGCAAUUAACCACAAAAGAAAAAAAAAUCAAAGUGUCGUGACCUUUGAUAGAUCACGGUGAAAGACAUGGGAUAAAUAUUAACCGGGCUCCACCCUAUAACUCACAGUAGUCCCUUCCAACGACGGUAUGGUGGUUUACCCAAACAUAAAUAUUAAAAAGUAUGAUAAGGCAAUAUUAUUUAUUAUGGUAGAAGUGUACUUGCAUGAGUUUUCCACGGGAAUAGUUUAUAACUAUUAAUCCAUUAUUUGAUGGUUUACGGAAUAUAUAUUUCUUACAAGUGGAUAUUAACACAAUUAUAAUUUAAUCAUGGCAACAUCACUGAGAUGAAGGCCCUGCUUCGCAUGAACCUGAAGCAAAAGCUAGUUCUUGGCAAAGUUGUAAGCAAUCGAUGCUGAUUGCGUCACACCUUCCAAAACACGUCGGUCCAAGAGCUGUAUGGAUGGAAACUCAAAAUAGAUGUUUUAAUUAAGUCAUGCUUUAUCAAAAAAAUUUCUAAAUUACCCGGACAAAGAGGAAUGAGGUCAUUCCUAAAAUCGGAAUACAUGUCAUGAAAAUAAACCACAACACAAAAACCAUCACGACAAGAGAAUUUUUUGUUGUGUAGGCCAUUUAUUUGACAAACAAUAUUGCUUGAUUUUUAUUGUAAGAAUAGAAUUAAAAAAACGAUCUUAGUUUAUGUAGAAUUAGAACUCCUUACAUAGUCAUUCAAGUGAAGCAUAAACUUGUCAGCAUCGUUCAAUUUGAGCAUAACAGUUUGUUAGCACCAUUAAUUAAGAUCUUGAAAUUUUAUUAUUAAUGUAUGUUCGUAUUUAAAUUAAAUUAGUAUAUAAACUAAAGAGGUUAUGUUACGUUUGAUAUCAAUUUAAGUCUAUGUGACAUCAUUAGAUUCAAACACAACAUAACCUCUUCUAUUUACAUGCUAAUUUAAUUUCAAUAUGAACAUACAUUAAUAAGAAAAUUUAAAGAUGGUAAUUAAUGGUGCUAACUAACUACUAUGCUCAACUUAAAUGGUGCUAAAGAGUGUUAUGCUUCAGUUGAACGACUAUUUAAGGAGUGGUAAUCCAACAUAAAGUAUGAUCCUUUCUUAAUUGUAUUCAUACAAUAAAAAUCAAGAAGUAUUGUUCCUCAAGCCAAUGGCCUACACAAAGAAAAGUUCUUUUGUCGUGAUGGUUUUGGUGUUGUAUAUUUGCAUGAUAUGUGUUCCGAUUUUAGGUAUGACAUCAUUCCUCUAUUUUUGGGUAUUUUAGAAAAAUUUACCAUAAAGCAUGAUAUAAUUAAAACAUCUAUAUUGAAUUUUCAUCUAUACAGCUCUUGGCCCAGCAUGUUUUGGACGGUGUGAUGCAAUCAGCAUUGAUUGCUUACAGCUUUGCCAAGAACUAGCUUUUGCUACAGGUUCAUGCGAAGCAUGGCCUUCAUCUCAGUGUUGUUGCCAUGAUUAAAUUACUAUUGUGUUAAUAUCCACUUGUAAGGACUAUAUAUUCCGUAAACCAUCAAAUAAUGGGUUAAUAAUGAUUAAAUAUUUUAGUGGUAUAUUGAUGUUACGUUAAACUACAUGAUAAUCCCAUAAAGCUAUUAAAAAAAUUUAGUUUACUAAUGUUCGUUCAUUUAUUUGAAUGUGUAACUAAUAAACAAAUAUACAUCACCCAAAAAUUUCAUAAGAUACUACAUAGCCGAAGCCACUUUUAAUAACUCUGAAGAUCACUUUGUAACCUUCAAUGUUAUUUUUUAUAAAAGGGAAACAAUAAAGAUAUAAUAAAGUCCUUUAAUGGGGUAUUCCAAGAUGUUACAUCUCUAUGCAACGUCUUUGUCAAUUUCAUACUUUCACAUUACUACUACUAUUUAUGUAAUAUAUUCUUUUUCCAUUUUUAAAUUUAGGUUUGGGUAAACCUUGGCAUUAGUGAGUCCCCUAUGGCAUGUAAGUAGACGUCUACCAUACUAAAUAGUAUGGUUUUAUCUUACUUUUUUAAUUUUAUUUAUGGGUAAGCCACUGUUGCCUAAGGAAUCUUUGGACACCGUCGCCGGAAAGGACUAUUGUUAGUUAUAGGGUGAAGCCCGUUGACAUUUAUCCCGGAUCUGACACGUUAUCUAUCAAAGGUUACAACAGUUCGAUAUUUUUUUUUUGGAAUUAGUUCAUAGAAAUAGCAAAGGCCUUCAUUUAUUUUUUUAUAUAGCCAUAUCUUGUCAACUUUGACAAUCUUUUUCUGUUUCAUAAUACUACGUUGUUUGGGUCAUGGUUAACAAAUUCGUAUCUCAUUGCAAUUGUGGUUAAGCUUUUUAGCCGUCAAUUACCAACUUUAACGUUUAAAUUGACCUUGCUAUGACCAUAUCAUUGGAUUUUUAGAAUGUCAUUUAUAGUUAUGAGAUAAAAGAAGAAAUAUUGAUAUUCAAAAUCGGCCUCACCUAUUUAGUCAUUUACCAAAUUUUAGUGUAUUAUCUGCAUGGCUAGUUAUUUAAGAGUAAAAGUAUCAUUUUUUAUCCAAUUACUAAAAAAUAGAUUGAUUUGGGUUAUAUUUUAGGGUUAAGUACAAGAAAGAGCCAUGUAUAUUUAUUAAUUUGUGAUAUUAAUAGCCUAUAGAUGCACUAAUCAUGAUGCUAAUGAAGAUGUUGAAGUCAAUGUACAUACAUUUACGAUAGUGAUGUUUCAAUCAUACAUAUUUCACAUAUUACUGAUAUAAAAAUAUUAUGAUAUGAAGGUGUGAACACCAAAUGAAAAAGGAAAAAAGCAACAGCCACGAAUAAGAUGGGAAUAAGUUUCAAUAGUGCUGCUUCUGUUAGUAGUAGAUAAAGAAGAAGAUUUAACUAAGUAACAACAUGAGAAAUAAAAAUGAAUGUAAAAUCAAAGCCUAAGCUUCAAAUGCACAUGUUAGAGAAUUGUGAAUAAAAUAAAAAAAAAUGCUCAAAUGCAUAUUGGAUUAUUGAAGUUAAAAUCGGAGAUAUGAUGUUGGCAACUUGUUUUUUAACCAUUUGGUAGAGUUAAAAAUAGUAUUUUAGAUGGAUAAAUAACAAAAAUAUAGUCCAUUAACAUAAUUACAAAAAAUAUAUAACACUUUAUGUUCUAUAAAGAAAUAUAUUAAAUUGCUUGUAAUGAGAAAUAAUGAAUUACAAAACGAUAUUUUAAAAUAAGAUUAUUGAAAUUGAAAGUAAAUUAACUAAUUAAAGAUUUAAAGCAUUAAUAUAAAAAAUGAAACCACGAUGUUAUAAUUCACAAAACUGUAAAAACUUGUUUAAACCUAUCAUUUGAUAAUCAAUUAGUAAAUUUAGUAUAUUUAUCUAAAAUUAAUAAUUUAAAUUUUUCAAUACAGUUAAUUUUGGAUAAUGCAAUAUACAACUGUUUGUACGUAAAAAUGUUUCCUGAUAGUUGAUAUUUGAAUAAAAAAAUGGUCUUGUGUUAUAAAUAAGAUUAUUAUAAUAUAUUUAAAAAAGAGUUUAUUACUUCUAUAUCACUUAAUAGAUUAUGUUAAUAAGAUAAAACAAUAUUUAUAUAAAAUGAAUAUUCAAAACUGAAUGAUACAUUGUAACUUAAAUUGACAAAUAAAAAAAAUGAGACAUAACAUUUUGAGAUACAUAUUCAAGUCAACUUUACAUUUGCAUUAAAAAUUUUGUAAGAAUUUUGCAAUGUCAGAAAGUUGGUUUUAGUUGAUAUCUGGAAUGGUUUUUUAUGCCUAGAGGUUACACUUUAAAAUAGUAAAAAAUCAAAAAAGUAAGUUAGUUUAUAAGAUAUAUGUGACUUGUUAAAUAUAACCUAACUUGCUUACAUUUUGAAACGUCAUCACAUUUGUAGAAUUUAAAACUUAUGGCAAAUGAAAUAUAGUUUAAUAUGUAAAAUUAUGUCAAUAAAAAACUCAAUAUGCGUCAGGCAUCUUAAAUUAUUUAAAAGACGUGUAAAUUUAUUUAUGAAAAUAGUAAUGGGAUCUGAUAACAAAGCUUGUCUAGAUAUAAAUCAUAAAAAGCACUCUUAAUGUCAUUACUUCUUCUCACUUCUUUGGUUGCAUUCCUAACUAAUAUGGAAAAAAUCCAUUAUAGAUUUGCAAGACUAAGAAUGAAAAGUACAAUUCUAUAUUUCUUUAAAUUUUGCAAAGUGCAAUGUACUUGUGACAACUUGGCACUUUUGCACUGAGAAAUCGAUCCAUAUACCUAUAAUUCACUUGAAUUUAGCAUCUUUUAAUAGUAUAUGGAGUCCGCACUAGUGUUUUAGGCUUAAUAUGUCAUAGACAUGGACCUUAGGAAGGAUUAAGAAGGUUGUUGCAUCACAAAAUCCAGCAACACACACCAAGAGAGGUGUGUGCGGUCGCACACUAGUGCGUACAGCCAAGCCAGCCGCACACCUGGCAGCAAACCCCUCCAGCCUCACACUCAACCCUAUAUAAAGUGGAGGACCCCCUUCCAUUCACUUUUGGCUGCAUCCUUUCUCUCUCUAUACUUUCUCUCUCUAGAAAACCACACAAAAACACCUAGAAGGCUCCCAAAACGUGAAGAACACCAUCAUUUAGCUUGUUAUAGAGGUAUAACACUUGAAUCCAAGACUAAAACUCAUAAUGUUCUUCAUGUUCUUCAUCCUAGGAAGGACUGCGGCCGCACACCUUCAUCAGGUGGCAGCACACACUCAUAAUACCCUCCAAAGUUAGAGUAAGGCCACAAAAUCGACACAUGGGAUUCAAGCAAGGAGUGUACGGACGCACACCCCUGUGUACGGCCGCACACACGCCCUGUACGGCCGCACACUCUAGUGUGCAACCUCACUCACAAGUCUGGCCGCAUACCCAGUCGCGCACUCACCUUUAUGGCCAUACACGCACCCUAAUACUCAUAAUUGGCCUUAAACUUGCAUAGAUCAUUGGGUAUAGAACAUGGGACACUUAGUCUUAGUGAUCCUAAGCCCUUAGGAGGAAUUUCCCAUCAUGUUUGGUCAUAAAACACCUUAACCCUAACUUAUAUAUGUGUCAACAUAUAAUUAAUAGGGGCUACAUACGUUCAGAGCAUCCGUUGACACUCGACACUCAUACGAAUCGCAUACUCGAACCCUACAAUAAAAGGUGAGUUCAUACCCCUUAAUGAACCUUUUUAAAUGUUUUUUACAUGUUUUAGGGGGGGGGGGAUACAAGUAAAAUUCUACAUGUUUUUAUUAUCAAAUCAUAUGUGAUUUACCAAUUAUCAUCAAAAAUGGAUUUUCUACACUUUUAGCUGCUUACUAAUAAAAUUGUUUUAGUUGACUAUCAAAUACAUUUUUGGAUUUAAAUUGUUGUUAAACUAUUUUCAAAAGUAUGUUUAAACUACAUUUCUUUUCUUUAAAAAUAUAUCUACUUUAAUAUAUUUAUAUAAGUAAGACUUGAAGAACUUAGGACCGAUAGCUCGCCUUAUUUCAUGUUCUUGUUUGAUGUGGUCUUGAGGUGUCUGUUGUCCGUUCGAUUGUCGUUGAAUUCUUAGUUAUAUAUCAUAUAUAUUUGUGAUAGAUAUGAAAGUUUUCAUCUUACCCGCUACCUUUACUAUUCAAAGGCAUGAAAUCAUACACUCUAGUUAACUAUAAUAGGUAUAGUUAAGACUACUGCUCGUUACCUCUACUACUACUAUACUCACUAUAACUGCUAUUAUUACAAGUUAAUACACGUAUAAGAGAACUCUCUAUUAACUAUACAAAAAGACUACUAUACUAUAAUACAAGAGAAUACACUAAUUCAGAGUAUAACACACUAUCCCUCUAUAAGACACUCUACUGCGCUUACACCAUGUGACCAGGGCUUUCCGGAAGGAAGGCAGCACUACACGUAUAGAUCUAUAUGGGGCAGACACUAUUACAUCCCGACUGUUAACUACAGUCCGAGCCGACUAGGCCCAGGGGUGGCACUACAUCACUACACUACACAUGACCGGGAAGGUCAUCGGGUUCUCUAUUAUCAUCCAGCCUGGUUAGAUGAGGGUUACACCUUUAUUUUAAUUAAUACACUAUGACUAAAGUCUAAGCUAACAUCCCGAAGUAUGUAAGUAUCUAUUACUAAUGGAAGUUUGCACCACUACUACUGCCAACAGGCAUAAUUUUUCUUUAUCUAUGUUACUCACAUGAGAUUUAUUACCAUACUUUUACAACUAAAGAUUUUCAAUGAUAAUACCUACACACAACUCAUAGGAUUUAACUUACAUAGUACUUUUCUGGAAAAUAUAGGAUUUUCUAGGGAUUUCUAAUACUUAUAAACAUAAAUUUCAGUUUUUAUACUAUAUGUUUGUUAACACUUUUUAUACUACAACGACACUAAAUUCUUAUUAACUCACCAGCUUUAUGCUGAUACUCGUUUUCAAAAUAACUUGUAUCCUCAGGUCAAAGAUAGACAGGUACAGGUGCAGCUUUUGGAGAAGAUGGACCACAUACAAGACCCAUCUUUUAUUUUGUUAUACUUUUGGUGUCUAUAAACUUUACAGAACACGUUUUGUAAUUAAAUUACUAUAUAUAUGCAGUGGUUGUUGUCACUUUUUUUUUACUAUUAUGCAAUUGUUAUGAUACUGUACAUGACGUCCUCCAUCCCAGAACGUAUUCCGCCAUUUUUGGUUUUGGGGUGUGACAGACUGGUAUCAGAGCCAGGUUUAUAGUGAAUCAAGUAUAUCAACCUACAAAAGAUAUACGAACUAUAAACACUUCGGGACUAAAACACUCUGACCAAGAAUAUAUACUAAAAGACUUAACUAAGUGUACANAUAUAUAUAUAUAUAUAUAUAUAUAUAUAUAUAUAUAUAUACAUACAUACAUUCACCACUACAAAAGGGUCAGUAUCAUACUAGAAUAAAACAAAAGUAUUAAGAUUGUUGAACAGCACAAUUAAGCUUAGAAACAUAUAGUCACAUCUGGGGGGAUGUAGCCUGAUCAACUAAAUUUAUCCAGGAGUGACUAGCAUGUGCCUAAGAGUGAUUGUGGUGUUGCAAGAAGUCUAAAAAAACUUACCAACGCUACCACAAGAACGUUAGAACAAGAAUACUAUAGGAAUAUUUUUCAUUCUACUAACUUUGUAUGUGAUAAAUAAAAAGGGUCGUUACUGGUUGGACAAUGGUUGCUAAGUGGAUACACCAUGGUUAUAUGUAACUAGGGCAUUAUAAACUCAAAAGUACGGCUAUUAACCAUUCUCCCCCCUUCUUGCGUAGAUAGCAUGGUUGGCUUCCACUACCCCGGCGAUCCGUAUUAUCCGAACCAGGGCAAUGGAGGAUGGCUCUAUGAGGAGCCAAAAGAUGAUCACCCGAUCCCUUUGGAUGAUCAUCGCGCAGAAGGCUUUUCGAAUAGCUCCAGCUUCGAGCCAGAAGUCAACAACCUACCCCCUGUAGCUCCAAACCCCAACCCCCGUCCGGUAUUUCUAGGUCCCACUCCCAUGUGGGCAAUAACCUUGAACCGAUGGAGCCAGGAGAAGGGUCAGCCUUUACCUUACAAUGGAGACCGAAGCUUCUACAACAUAAGCGAGGGAGGAUCAGCGGACCGAGUUCUGCCCAUCAUGGUCCAAAGGAUUGCCAGGAACGUCGAGCAAGGUCAAGCAGCCAUUGGCCGAGAUGUAGAAGUGGAUGCCAACUCUAACCUCAACACUCUUCGCAUUUGUCAACUGGAAGAAGCCAUGGAUAGGACGAAGAGGACCAAUGAGGCUCUGCAGCAACAGCUAACUGCAUCCCGAGCCGAAGUUAGGGAACUCCGAGCACGUCAGUGGGCUCAUGAACGACAUCUUCAGGAAGUUAUGCAUCAACUAGCAGACCUGAGGGUUCGCCCAAUGGGGACCCGUCGCAAGUAGAAGACGUCGAAACACCUCGCUCUUUUGUUUAAGGACUAGCCUUUUCUUUUCUGUGCUCAGUAGAGCACUUGUCUGUAAACAUUUCCUAACUAUGAAAAUACCCUAACUGAACUCCUAGGUUGCCAACGUUUUCCCUUAUGGUUUGAUGUAAGACCUACUACUAGGUCAUUUUUCCUGAACUCAUUUUACAUCAUGAAUACCAGUAAUAUUGGCAGUUAACUAUUCUAUUGCUAUGAUUCUCUCUCUGAUUAUUGGUCUAUGUUGAUUAAGUCCAUGACACCCUCUUAUCAUACUUGCAAUAGACUCUCUUACUAUUGUCAACAUCUCUAUGAACUUUCAGUAAAAGAUGCCUCCUCGCAAGUGCCCGAGCAGAGGCAGACCAGCGACUCAAGCCCCACCUCCACCACCUCCUCCUCCGUAGUUCGAUCCGGUGCUGUUCCAAACAGCUAUAACCGCAGCUGUGACGGCAGCCAUGGACCAAAUGAAUUCUGGCGAUGCUAGUGGAGCCAGAAUGGGCACCAACUCGAGACAUGGUGAAAUUCCCUCUUGUACACCAAGGUGUACUUAUAAAGAUUUCAUGAACUGUAAGCCCACAUUUUUGAAUGGGACCGGAGGAAUCCUAGCUCUGUCCUAAUGGAUCGAAAGAGACCGAAGCUGUUUUCGAAAUGUGCUCAUGCCCCGAAGAAAGCAAAAUCAAGUUCGCUGCUGCCACCUUCACUGAAAGGGCCCUGACAUGGUGGAAUGGCCAUGUCAACUCACUCUCUUUAGUAACAGCUAAUGCCAUGGGCUGGGACAUACUAAAGGAAGUGUUGAGAAAGGAGUAUUGCCCUAGAGGGGCGGUUCAGAAGCUUGAAGAGGAACUUUGGAACCUCAAGAUGAAGGGAACAGACAUAGUGGCUUAUACGGCUAGGUUCUGCGACCUGGUAGCUAUGUGCCCAGACAUGAUUCCUUCUGAAAGAAAGAAAAUCGAACGAUACAUCUAGAGUUUAGUACCCACGUAUCAAGGAAAUGUUCUAUCUUCCCAUCCUGCAACCUUUGACAGCGCCAAGGAGUUGGCCCACAAGUUAAUUGAUCAUGAAACUUCUUCCACUCUAGCUACAGCAACCAUAACUGCCACUGCACCGCCCAAGACAACCGACAAAAAGAGGAAGCAUUGGGAUNNNNNNNNNNNNNNNNNNNNNNNNNNNNNNNNNNNNNNNNNNNNNNNNNNNNNNNNNNNNNNNNNNNNNNNNNNNNNNNNNNNNNNNNNNNNNNNNNNNNNNNNNNNNNNNNNNNNNNNNNNNNNNCAACGCCCCCCCCCCCCCCCACGGCCCCCUGCCGUGAAUUGCAAUGCACCAACUGCAGCCGGAAGGGCCAUACUGUCCGGUUUUGCAAAUCCGAACCCAAACCUAUCUCGCAAGUCCCCAGUUCGGGAGUGACCCAGACCUUUUAUGGUUGCGGUGAAGCUGGCCAUUUCAAUAAAAAGUGUGUGAAGGCUGGGAAUGCGGGAGGAACAGGAAGACUAGUCGCUAUUGGUCACAACGAAGCAGUAGCGGGUCCCACAGUGGUCACGGGUACGUUCCUACUCAACAACUAUUACGCCUGUGUCUUAUUCGAUAGUGGUGCAGAAACAAGCUUCAUAAACCAAAACUUUAAACACUCACUUAAACAAUCCCCACAACCACUAAAAGAAACAUUUGUCGUAGAAAUGGCUAACGGAAAGACCGAAAGCUCUAAUGAAAUUGACAUAGGUUGUACCCUCACGUUAGACGAUCAUUCUUUCCCAAUCGAUCUCAUACCAGUCUCGAUCAAGAGUUUCGAUGUCCUUGUUGGCAUGGAUUGGUUGAGUCUUCAUCGCGCUAAUAUUCUAUGCUUCGACAAAGCCAUUCGCCUAAAUCCACCGAAUCAUGAAACUUUGUUGAUCUAUGGAGAUAAACCUGGUACGAGCCUUCGUAUCAUCUCAAAUAUUCAAGCCCAAAAAUAUUUGCGUAAGGAAUAUCGCGCCUUCCUUACACACGUCGUCGACACAAGCCAGAAAGCGAGAGAUCCAAAAGACAUCCCUGUUGUAUGCGAUUUCCCUGACGUCUUUCCAGAGGACCUUCCAGGUUUACCUCCCAAACGUCAGGUUGAGUUCAGAAUCGACCUAGUCCCAGGAGCUACCCCCGUAGCUAAGUCGCCCAUUCAUUUAGCGCCUGCAGAUAUGCAAGAACUAUCCGGCCAACUUAACGAGCUGCUCAGCAAGGGCUUUAUAAUACCAAGCUUCUCACCUUGGGGAGCUCCAGUCUUGUUCGUAAAGAAGAAGGACGGAUCAUUCCGUAUGUGCAUCAAUUAUAGGGAACUCAACAAACUCACGGUCAAAAAUCGCUACCCUCUUCUCCGUAUAGAUGACCUAUUUGACCAACUACAAGGGGCAAGUUACUUUUCCAAGAUUGAUCUUAGGUCCGGGUAUCACCAGUUACGAGUGCUUGAGGAGGAUGUUCCGAAGACAGCCUUCUGAACUCGUUACGGACACUACGAGUUCGUAGUGAUGCCCUUUUGGACUGACUAACGCACCCACAGUGUUCAUGGACUUGAUGAAUAGGGUGUGUCGUCCAUACUUAGAUCAGUUCGUCAUCAUCUUUAUUGAUGAUAUACUCGUCUACUCAAGGAGUGCGCAAGAACACAGGAACCAUCUACAACGAGUCCUAGAAAACCUACGAUCGGAGAAGUUAUACGCGAAGUUCUCUAAGUGCGAAUUUUGGAUCCGAAGAGUUGAAUUCUUAGGACACGUGGUUAGUGAGGAAGCAAUCCACGUGGACCCAUCCAAGAUUAAAGCUAUCGAGAACUGGUCAGCACCGAAGACGCCUACAGAAAUUCGUCAAUUUCUGGGCCUCGCUGGUUACUACCGCAGAUUCAUUAAGAACCUCUCUCGGAUUGUGAAACCUCUUACCACAUUGACACAGAAAAGUGUAACAUUUGACUGGGAAGAGAAACAGGAGAAGGCAUUCCAGACCCUGAAGCGAGCUCUAUGCACCGCACCGGUAUUAUCCCUUUCCCGAAGGGAUAGAAGAUUUUGUGGUAUACUACGAUGCAUCGAACCAAGGGCUGGGUUGUGUCUUGAUGCAACGAGGUAUGGUCAUCGCCUAUGCCGCAAGACAGCUGAAGACACACGAGGUUAAAUACACCACUCACGACCUCGAGUUAGGGGCGGUUGUAUUCGCUCUAAAGAUCUGGAGACAUUACUUGUAUGGAACGAAGAGCAAAAUAUACACUGAUCAUAAAAGCCUCCAACACAUACUGAACCAGAAGGAGCUCCAACAUGAGACGACGAUGGUGGGUCGAACUACUCAACGAUUACGACAGCAAGAUUCGUUAUCACCCGGGGAAAGCUAAUGUAGUAGCAGACACCCUAAGUAGAAAAGAGUAUUCCAGUCGAAGAGUCAAGUCAUUAACAAUGACUAUCCAUUAGCACCUAUCCGCACAGAUUAAGGAGGCUCAGCUCGAAGCCUUAAAGCCUGAAAAUGUGGCGGGAGAAUCCCUGCGUGGAAUGGACAAGAACAUGGAAGUCAAGGGUGACGGAGCCUAUUAUCUUAUGGACCGAAUUUGGACUCCGCGCCACGGUGGUUUUAGAGACUUCGUCAUGUAGUAAGCACGCAACACUCGAUACUCAGUUCACCCAGGUUCAGAUAAGAUGUAUCUGGAUCUCAAAAAGCUAUACUAGUGGCCUAGCAUGAAAGCGGAGAUUGCUACUUUCGUGAGUAAGUGCCUAACUUGUGCAGAGGUCAAGGUCGAAUACCAGAAGCCAUCAGGUCUCCUCCAACAACCGGAGAUACAGGAGUGGAAGCGGGAGCGGAUCACCGUGGAUUUUGUAACUAAGCUACCCAAGACAACGGGUGGGCUGGAUACCAUGUGGGUCAUCGUCGAUAGACUGACCAAGUCCGCACACUUCCUACCCAUCAAAGAAACAGACAAGAUGGAGAAACUCACAAGAACCUACAAUAAGGAAAUAAUACGACUAAAUGGCGUCCAUGUAUCUAUUAUCUCUAAUAGAGAUAGUAGGUUCACUUUGAGAUUUUGGCAAUCACUGCAAAAAGCUUUAGGGACGAGGCUAGACAUGAGUACAGCCUACCACCCGCAGACUGACGGACAAAGUGAAAGGACGAUCCAAACCAUAGAGGAUAUACUACGAGCCUAUGUGAUUGACUUUGGUAAAGCAUGGGAUACACACUUACCCCUUGUGGAGUUUUCCUAUAACAAUAGUUAUCAUACGAGCAUCAAUGAAGCUCCAUUUGAAACCCUCUACAACCUGAUAGCGCCCUCACGGGUCCGGAGAUCAUUCAAGAAACGACCGAGAAGAUUGUACAGAUUUGCGAACGAUUAAAACCCGCUAGGGAUCGACAGAAAAGCUACGCAGACAAGCAAAGAAAACCUUUGGAAUUCCAGGUGGGAGACCGAGUCCUUUUGAAAGUCUCACCCUGGAAGGGCACGAUACGCUUUGGAAAACGAGGAAAGCUAAACCCAAGAUACGUGGGGCCUUUCGAGAUUCUCGCCAGAAUAGGCCCCGUAGCUUACAAACUCAACCUACCCCAUGAGCUUAGUAACAUACAUCCUACCUUCCACGUAUCGAACUUGAAAAAGUGCCUAUCCGACGAGACUCUUGUAAUUCCACUCGACGAGAUCGAAAUCAACGAGAGUCUCAACUUCGUGGAACAACCUGUGCAAAUUAUGGAUCGAGAAGUCAAGCGAACGAAGCAAAGUUGCAUCCCAAUUGUAAAGGUUCGCUGGAAUGCCAAGCGAGGACCGGAGUUCACUUAGGAGCGCGAGGAUCAAAUGAAACAUAAAUAUCCUCAUCUUUUUGCUUAGUUAAUAUGUAACAACUUAGUUGCUUGAACUAUAAUUUCGGGACGAAAUUCCACUAUCGGGGGGAGGAUGUGACAACUUGGCACUUUUGCACUGAGAAAUCAAUCCAUAUAUCUAUAAUUCACUUGAAUUUAGCAUCUUUUAAUAGUAUAUGGAGUCCACACUAGUGUUUUAGGCUUAAUAUAUCAUAGAUAUAGACCUUAGGAAGGAUUAGGAAGGGUGUUGCAUCAUAAAACCCAACCACACACACCAAGAGAGGUGUGUGCGGUCGCACACUAGUGUGUGUGGCCAAGCCAGCCGCACACCUGGCAGCAAACCCCUCCAGCCUCACACUCAACCCUAUAUAAAGUGGAGGACCCCCUUCCAUUCACUUUUGGCUGCAUCCUUUCUCUCUCUAUACUUUCUCUCUCUAGAAAACCACCUAAAAACACCAAGAAGGCUCCCAAAACGUGCAGAACACCAUCAUUUAGCUUGUUAUAGAGGUAAAACACUUGAAUCCAAGCCUCAAACUCAUAAUGUUCUUUAUGUUCUUCAUCCUAUGAAGGAAUGCGGCCGCACACCUUCAUUAGGUGGCCGUACACACUCAUAAUACCCUCCAAAGUGAGAGUAAGGCCACAAAAUCGACACAUGGGAUUCAAGCAAGGAGUGUACGGCCGCACACACGCCUUGUACGGCUGCACACUCUAGUGUGCAGCCUCACUCACAAGUCUGGCCGCAUACCCAGCCGCACACUCACCUUUAUGGCCAUACACACACCCUAAUACUCGUAUUUGGCCUUAAACUUGCAUCGAUCAUAGGGUAUAGAACAUGGGACACUUACUCUUAGUGAUCCAAAGCCCUUAGGAGGAAUUUCCCAUCAUGUUUGGUCAUAAAACACAUUAACUCUAACUUAUAUAUGUGUCACCAUAUAAUUAAUAGGGGCUACGUACGUUUAGAGCAUCCGUUGACACUCAACACUCAUACGAAUCGCAUACUCGAACUCUACAAUAAACGGUGAGUUCAUACUCGAACUCUACACUUUUAGCUGCUUACCAAUAAAACUAUUUUAGUUGACUAUCAAAUACAUUUUUGGAUUUAAAUUGUUGUUAAACUAUUUUCAAAACUAUGUUUAAACUACUUUUCUUUUCUUUAAAAAUAUAUCUACUUUAAUAUAUUUAUAUAAGUAAGACUUGAAGAACGUAGGACCGAUAGCUCGCCUUAUUUCAUGUUCUUGUUUGAUGUGGUCUUAGGGUGUCUGUUGUUCGUCCGAUUGUCGUUGAAUUCUUAGUUAUAUAUCAUAUAUAUUUGUGAUAGAUAUGAAAGUUUUCAUCUUACCCGCUACCUUUACUAUUCAAAGGCAUGAAAUCAUACACUCUAGUUAACUAUAAUAGGUAUAGUUAAGACUACUGCUCGUUACCUCUACUACUACUAUACUCACUAUAACUGCUAUUAUUACAAGUUAAUACACGUAUAAGAGAACUCUCUAUGAACUAUACGAAAGACUACUAUACUAUAAUACAAGAGAAUACACUAAUUCAGAGUAUAACACACUAUCCCUCUAUAAGACACUCUACUGCGCUUACACCAUGUGACUAGGGCUUUCCGGAAGGAAGGCAGCACUACACGUAUAGAUCUAUAUGGCGUAGACACUAUUACAUCCUGACUGUUAACUACAGUCUGAGCCGACUAGGCCCAGGGGUGGCACUACAUCACUACACUACGCAUGACCGGGAAGGUCGUCGGGUUCUCUAUUAUCAUCCAGCCUGGUUACAUGAGGGUUACACCUUUAUUUUAAUUAAUGCACUAAGACUAAAGUCUAAGCUAACAUCCCGAUGUAAGUAAGUAUCUAUUACUAAUGGAAGUUUGCACCACUACUACUGCCAACAGGCAUAACUUUUCUUUAUCUAUGUUACUCACAUGAGAUUUAUUACCAUACUUCUACAACUGAAGGUUUUCAAUGAUAAUACCUACACAAAACUCAAAGGAUUUAACUUACAUUGUACUUUUCUGGAAAAUAUAGGAUUUUCUAGGAAUUUCUACUACUUAUAAACAUAAAUUUCAGUUUUUAUACUAUAAGCUUGUAAACACUUUUUAUACAACAACGACGUUGAAUUCUUAUGAACUCACCAGCUUUAUGCUGAUACUCGUUUUCAAAAUAACUUGUAUCCUCAGGUCAAAGAUAGACAGGUACAAGUGCAGCUUUUGGAGAAGAUGGAGCACAUACAAGACCCAUCUUUAAUUUUGUUAUACUUUUGGUGUCUAUAAACUUUAUAGAACACGUUUUGUAAUUAAAUUACUAUAUAGAUGCAGUGGUUGUUGUCACUUGUUUUUACUAUUAUGCAAUUGUUAUGAUAUUGUACAUGACGUCCUCCACCCCAGAACGUAUUCCAUCAUUUUUGGUUUUGGGGUGUGACAAAUUCGUAUCAGAGCCAAGUUUAUAGUGAAUCAAGUAUAUAAACCUACAAAAGAUAUACGAACUAUAAACACUUCGGGACUAAAACACUCCGACCAAGAAUAUAUACUAAAAUACUUAACUANUACAUUCACCACUACAAAAGGGUCAGUAUCAUACUAGAACAAAACAAAGUAUCAAGAUUGUUGAACAGCACAAUUAAGCUUAGAGACAUAUAGUCACAUCUGGGGGGAUGUAGCCUGAUCAACUACAUUUAUCCAGGAGUGACUUGCAUGUGCCUAAGAGUGAUUGUGGUUUUGCAAAAAGUCUAAAAAAAACUUACCAACACUACCACAAGAACGUUAGAAUAAGAAUACUAUAGGACUAUUCUGCAUUCUACUAACUAUGUAUGUGAUAACUAAAAAGGGUCGUUACUAGUAGGACAAUGGUUGCUAAGUGGAUACACCACGGUUACAUGUAACUAAGGCAUUAUAAACUCAGAAUCUAUGGCCUUUGCUUCAUUUCCUGUUCUUGUUUGAUUGGGGAUCUGAAGUUAGGGUUGCUUAUUCGAAGGACUAUCCUGCUCUGGUUACAUGUAAUUGGUAUGCACUACGCAAGUAUUGGGUCGACCAAUAACGAUCCAUCUCAUAAGUAUCCUAGAUAAGUACGUCUAUUAACCUUUCUCUCCCCAUUCUCGCGUAGAUAGCAUGGCUAGUUUCCACUACCCCGACAAUCCGUAUUAUCUGAACCAGGGCAAUGGAGGAUGGCUCGAUGUGGAGCCAGAAGAUGAUAACCCAAUCCCUUUGGAUGAUCAUCGUGCAGAAGGCUUUUCAAAUAGCCCCAGCUCCGAGCCAGAAGUCAACAACCCACCCCCUGUAGCUCCAAACCCUAACCCCCGUCCGACAUUUCAAGAUCCCACUCCCAUGUGGGCAAUAACCUUGAACCGAUGGAGCGAGGAACAGGGUCAGCCUUUACCUUACAAUGGAGACCGAAGCUUCUACAACAUAAGCGAGGGAGGAUCAGCGGACCGAGUUCUGCCCAUCAUGGUCCGAAGGAUUGCCAGGAACGUGGAGCAAGGUCAAGCAGCCAUUGGCCGAGAGGUAGAAGUGGAUGCCAACUCUAACCUCAACACUCUUCGCAUUCGUCAACUGGAAGAAGCCAUGGAUAGGACGAAGAGGACCAAUGAGGCUCUGCAGCAACAGCUAACUGCAUCCCGAGCCGAAGUUAGGGAACUUCGAGCACGUCAGUGGGCUCAUGAACGACAUCUUCAGGAAGUUAUGCAUCAACUAGCAGACCUGAGGGUUCGCCUAAUGGGGACCCGUCGCCAAUGGAAGACGUCGAAACACCUCGCUCUUUUGUUUAAGGACUAGCCUUUUCUUUUCUGUGCUCAGUAGAGCACUUGUCUGUAAACAUUUCCUAACUAUGAAAAUACCCUAACUGAACUCCUAGGCUGCCAACGUUUUCCCUUAUGGUUUGAUGUAAGACCUACUACUAGGUCAUUUUUCCUGAACUCAUUUUACAUCAUGAAUACCAGUAAUAUUGGCAAUUAACUAUUUUGUUGCUAUGAUUCUCUCUCUGAUUAUUGGUCUAUGUUGAUUAAGUCCAUGACACCCUCUUAUCAUACUUGCAAUAGACUCUCUUACUAUUGUCAACAUCUCUAUGAACUUUCAGUAAAAGAUGCCUCCUCGCAAGCGCCCGAGAAGAGGCAGACCAGCGACUCAAGCCCCACCUCCACCACCUCCUCCUCCGCAGUUCGAUUCGGUGCUGUUCCAAAUAGCUAUAACCGCAGCUGUGACGGCAGCCAUGGACCAAAUGAAUUCUGGCGAUGCUAGUGGAGCCGGAAUGGGCACCAACUCGAGACAUAGUGAAAUUCCCUCUUGUACACCAGGGUGUACUUAUAAAGAUUUCAUAAACUAUAAGCCCACAUUUUUCAAUUGGACCAGAGGAAUCCUAGCUCUGUCCCAAUGGAUCGAAAGAGCCGAAGCUGUUUUCGAAAUGUGCUCAUGCCCCGAAGAAAGCAAAAUCAAGUUCGCUGCUGCCACCAUCACUGAAAGGGCCCUUACAUGGUGGAAUGGCCAUGUCAACUCACUCUCUUUAGUAACAACUAAUGUCAUGGGUUGGGACACACUAAAGGACCUGUUGAGAAAGGAGUACUGCCCUAGAGGGGAGUUUCAGAAGCUUGAAGAGGAACUUUGGAACCUCAAGAUGAAGGGAACAGACAUAAUGGCUUAUACGGCUAGGUUCUGCGACCUGGUUGCUAUAUGCCCCAACAUGAUUCCUUCUGAAAGAAAGAAAAUCGAACGAUACAUCUGGGGUUUAGUACCCCCGUAUCAAGGAAAUGUUCUAUCUUCCCAUCCUGCAACCUUUGACAGCGCCAAGGAGUUGGCCCACAGGUUAAUUGAACAUGAAACUUCUUCCACUCCAGCUACAGCGACCACAACUGCCACUGCACCGCCCAAGACAACUGCCACUGCUACUCCUGCAUCAGCAAAGGCUUAUGUUGCGAACCUGCCCAAGUGCCCCAAGUGCCCCUUCCACCACAACGGCCCCUGUCGUGAAUUGCAAUGCACCAACUACAGCCGGAAGGGCCAUACUGUCUGGUUUUAAAUCUGAACCCAAACCUAUCUCGCAAGUCCCCAGUUCGGGAGUGACCCAGACCUGUUAUGGCUGCGGUGAAGCUGGCCAUUUUAAGAAAAAGUUUCUGAAGGAUGGGAAUGCGGGAGAAACAGGAAGACUACUCGCUAUUGGUCACAACGAAGCAGUAGCGGAUCCCACAGUGGUCACAGGUACGUUCCUUCUCAACAACUGUUAUGCCUGUGUCUUAUUCGAUAGUGGUGCAGAAAGAAGCUUCAUAAACCAAAACUUUAAACACCUACUUAAACAAUCCCCACAACCACUAAAAGAAACAUUCGUCGUAGAAAUGGCUAACGGAAAGACCGAAAGCUCUAAUGAAAUUUACAUAGGUUGUACCCAAGAUACGUAGGGCCUUUCAAGAUUCUCGCCAGAAUAGGCCCCGUAGCUUACAAACUCAACCUACCCCACGAGCUUAGUAACAUACAGCCUACCUUCCACGUAUCGAACUUGAGAAAGUGCCUAUCCGACGAGACUCUUGUAAUUCCACUCGACGAGAUCGAAAUCAACGAGAGUCUCAACUUCGUGGAAGAAUCUGUGCAAAUUAUGGAUCGAGAAGUCAAGCGAACGAAGCAAAGUCGCUUCCCAAUUGUAAAGGUUCACUGGAAUGCCAAGCGAGGACCGGAGUUCACUUGGGAGCGCGAGGAUCAAAUGAAACAUAAAUAUCCUCAUCUUUUUUCUUAGUUAAUAUGUAAUAACUUAGUUGCUUGAACUAUAAUUUCGAGACGAAAUUCCCCUAUCGGGGGAGGAUGUGACAACUUGGCACUUUUGCACUGAGAAAUCGAUCCAUAUAUCUAUAAUUCACUUGAAUUUAGCAUCUUUUAAUAGUAUAUGGAGUCCACACUAGUGUUUUAGGCUUAAUAUAUCAUAGAUAUGGACCUUAGGAAGGAUUAGGAAGGGUGUUGCAUCACAAAAUCCAGCCACACACACCAAGAGAGGUGUGUGCGGUCACACACUGGUGUGUGCGGCCAUGCCAGCCGCACACCUGGAAGCAAACCCCUCCAGCCUCACACUCAACCCUAUAUAAAGUGGAGGACCCCCUUCCAUUCACUUUUGGCUUCAUCCUUUCUCUCUAUACUUUCUCUCUCUAGAAAACCACCCAAAAACACCUANNNNNNNNNNNNNNNNNNNNNNNNNNNNNNNNNNNNNNNNNNNNNNNNNNNNNNNNNNNNNNNNNNNNNNNNNNNNNNNNNNNNNNNNNNNNNNNNNNNNGAGAAUAACUUAUCAAAAUAAAAGACGAGUCUUGAGUGCUCCGUCCUCUCUAAACCUUGUAUCGGCACCUGUCUAUAGUUGUAACCUGAGAAUACAAGUUAUUUUGAAAGAGUAGAUCAGCAUUUAAGCUGGUGAGUUCAUAAGUAUUUAAUGUCAUUGCUUUGAUUAAUUGAUAUGAAAGACUGGUGAAUGAUUGAUGAAACAUUUAGUAUAAGUAUGAAAACUCUAGAAAAUCCCAUAUUUCCUACUAGUAUAAAAGUAAUCUUCUACCAAGACCCGAAUGUUUUGAAAGUAGUCUUUUACCUAGACCUGACUGUUUUGAAAGUACGCAUCUCUUGAAAAUGUGACGGUUUUUCCCUGUUUAACUCUUAUUAGUAGUCUCUUAAGUAUACCUGAAAUGGUAUCAACCUAGAACAUCCGUAGACUGUUCAUUUACCUCUGUUGCUAACAGCCGGGUUUAGGAAUAGUUAGUCCCUUAUGUAUACCCACGAUGGUAUCAACCUAAAACAUCCGUAGAUUGUUCAUUUACCUCUGUAGCUAACAGUGGUUGUCGGAAUGGUUAGUCCCUCAAAGUAUCAUGUGGUACUAGGAGAUAAAGUCCCAAUCUAUCUCGUCGAUGAUGUGAUUGAAUCACAAGGUAAAGAUAGAAAGGCGAACGAUAUAACCGUAUCUUAGACAUAUAACAUGUAAUAGUAAUUUGCCAUCCAAGACUUGUAUGGAUGGAAACUCAAAAUAGAUGUUUUAAUUAAAUCAUGCUUUAUCGUAAGGUUUUCUAAAUUACCGAGACAAAGAGGAAUGAUGUCUUACCUAAAAUCGGAAUACAUGUCAUGAAAAUAAACCACAACACAAAAGAGAAUUUUUUGUUGUGUAGGCCAUUUAUUUGACAAACAGUAUUGCUUGAUUUUUAUUGUAAGAAUAGAAGUAAAACAAACGAUCAUAGUUUAUGUCGAAUUAGAACUCCUUACAUAGUCAUUCAAGUGAAGCAUAAACUUGUCAGCAUCGUUCAAUUUGAGCAUAACAGUUUGUUAGCACCAUUACUUAAGAUCUUGAAAUUUUAUUAUUAAUGUAUGUUCAUAUUGAAAUUAAAUUAGUAUAUAAAUUGAAGAGGUUAUGUUACGUUUGACAUCAAUUUAAGUGUAUGUGACAUCAUUAAUUUCAAACACAACAUAACCUCUUCUAUUUACAUGCUAAUUCAAUUUCAAUACGAACAUACAUUAAUAAGAAAAUUUAAAGAUGGUAAUUAAUGGUGCUAACUAACUACUAUGCUCAACUUGAAUGGUGCUAAAGAGUGUUAUGCUUCAGUUGAAUGACUUUUUAAGGAGUGGUAAUCCAACAUAAAGUAUGAUCCUUUCUUAAUUCUAUUCAUACAAUAAAAAUCAAGAGGUAUUGUUCUGUAACAACCCGAAGUUUUCCAUCGCCGAAAAACCCAUUCUACCCGUAUAACUCGCCGUGUGCCGAAACGUUCCGAUGUCGUUUUUGGGUUUAGUUAAUUAAAUUUAUAUGUUUAUUAUGAUCCAUUGAGUGUCCAAACCCUUUAGGAACUCAUGAAACAAGCCCAAAAUAUUUAUUUCAUCAGUUUUAGAAAUGUCCCCGUCGGGUGACGGAAACUCAAUCGGGUGCGACCUAAAGCCUCGUUUAAGGCCGGUAUCGGGUAGAAUUCCACCGUGUCCAAGUUUUGGGAACUAUAUAAACAUAUUAAACCUUUCAUUUGAAGCUUUUUCCCUCUCUCUCUACUCUCUCUCUAACCUCUCUCCUAAAUCCAAAGUUUAAGGGUCCAAAACUCAAUUUUAAGGCCUCAAAUCCCUAAGGUACCUUCCUAACUUCAUUGUAUAGCAUAUUUGGCUUCUAAAUUCGAGAUUAAAUCAUGAGAUUGGACAUAUUAUAUGAGUUUACGGCCCAGGAAGAUGCCUAGGCCGUAAACACUAAGUUUGAAGGGUUUUGAGCCCAUAAACCCCUUCCAGACAAUUUUGGGACCUAGAUAUGACUUAAUGACUUCAUGAAUUGGACUUAUAACAAUUUAAACAUGAAUUUUGAAGGAUUUGAAGGAGUUUAUGGCCAAGCCUCAUGCUUGGGCCGUAAACUCAUAUAAUUGAGGUUUUCAUGACCUUAAACCCUUCCAAAUCACUAAUAAGGCUUAGGUAUGAAUUAUAGAAUAUUGGUUUUAGCAUUUGGACACUUGAAACAUAAUUUUUGAAGGAUUAUUGUGAGUUUACGGCCAAGGCAAGUGCUUGGGCCGUAAACUCCUUAAAACAUGGUGAAAAUUCAUUUUAAAGUGUUGUUUAACCCCUAUAACACCCCUAAAGCCUUGGAAUGAAUUUUAGAAGUCCUUACAAUCAAGUUUUUUGGUCUUAAAACAUAUGGAAUAACUCUCUAAGAGAGUUUAUGGCCAUGAGGGGGGUCUCAUAGGCCGUAAACUCCAAAAACCCCUCCAAAAUUUCAAGGAAAUGCAUGAAAGGCCUAGGAAUAAAUUUAGUAAUCACAUGUGAUUUGUUUUAGCAUCAUUUAACACAAUUUUCAUGGGUAUUAAGGAGUUUAUGGCCAGGAGUCCAUGCUAGGCCGUAAACUCCCAUAAAUAAGUCAUUUUGAUGUUUGAAAUCCAUUCCAAGCCUUUAAACCAAACCUAGAAAAUUCCCUUAAGUGUUACAAGCAAAAUUGUGCCAUAACUCACCCCACCAUGAGUUUACAGCCGUAAACUCAUGAGGAGAGGGUCAUUAUGGCCGUAAACUCCCUAAGGAGUGUUCCUUUGAAGUCCCAGUUCAAUAUCCUAACUAUAUGUGUCCCUAAAUGUCACCCGGGUCCCUCCAAACACUUGUAUCGGGGUGUUUUCGCGACUAGAAACAUUUGUCCCUAUCAAAUAAUCAAUCUAAGUCCUAAUUAGAUACAAAUGUGUAUCUUUACAUAAUACUUAGGAACCUCGUGUGUUUGCAAGCCCCGGACCAACACUUAGCAUCCAAAUCGUCACAUUUCUCGUCCGGUGAGUUCAUACCCCUACGCCUUUUCCGUGUUUUUCAAUGUUUUCAGGGGGGGAAUACAAGCAAACUUAACUGUUUUCAAAUCAUAACAUUGAUAUAUUUCUAAUAAUAUCUGGCAAAUUUAUAAACACUUUUACUCCUUAUGUAUUAUGCUGAGCAUAAGGAAUGAUUUAUCAAUUACAACUAAAUGGAUUUUAGUUAAGAAAAUAACCAAACUAAUCAAAUUAUUAUGGGAAUAAUUUGGGGUUCUAUAUUUCUCUUUAUAUCAUGUACUGAUAUCUGUAUAAAGUUAUUAGAUAAACUAUGUCUGAUUCAGUUUAUCUCCGUAUCAUUUGAAUGUAUUGCCAGAUAAUUUCAUAGUAUGUAUCUAUUUUCACUGUAUUAUGUUUCACAAUCUUUGUAUGUUUGAUAUCGUAUGAGAAUCCUGUGAAUAGUUUAGUACUAGGUUGUGAGUAGUCACUACCCUUUAUGGAUGAUCAGUAAAUCCUCCUCGGAAGUGUAACCAGAGUCUCCUGGAGGGAGAGCGAGGAAUUUGUGAAUAGAUCUAUUCGGGACUGACAAUCCCACACCUUAACUGCUAGCUACAGUUAGGCGGGCACGCCUGGGGUGACAAAUUCUGGAUAUCAUUCGACGUCUGACUAACGUCAAGGAGGUCUCGUUGUCAUAUCAGCAUGGUUACCCGACUCACAAUACGUAUUAAUAUAACUUAUUCACAGCUAGGGUUUGUUUAGAAUCUAUAUCUUGUUCGGGAUGGUAAUCCCAUGGUCUUGUAUCUAUAUCUCGUUCGGGAUGGUAAUCCCAUGGUUUUAUGUCUAUAUCUCGUUCGGGAUGAUAAUCCCAUGAUCUUGUGUCUAUAUCUCGUUCGGGAUGGUAAUCCCAUGGUUUUGAAACUAAAUCUUAUACGGGAUGAUAAUCCCAUGAUUUUAUCAAUCUAUCAUAUAUCUAGUUUCGGGAUAGUGAUCCCAUGGUUUAUCAAGCUAUCUUAUAUCUACUUUCGGGAUAGUGAUCCCAUGGUUUUUAUCGAAUUAUCUUAUAACUGGUUCGGGAUGUAGUCCCAAGGUUUUCAAAAUACUUUCUAUUUACAGUUCGUCUAAAUUAUAGUUUUGUGAAUUAAACUAUACUAUGUGUUAUCCAAUCAAUCUUACAAUUAGGAAAAUAUGGGAUUUUCCUGGGGUUAACUUAUAUCUGUAACAGAACUGUAACGAAAGAUAACUUAACUACUUUACAUAAGAAAAUAUGGGAUUUUCUUGGAUAUCAAAUCUUUUCAGAAAACUAAAGGAAAUCGAUACAUUUUCACAAAACAAAACCGCUUAUGAACUCACCAGCUUUAUGCUGAUUUUCAAACUGCUUGUAUUCUCAGGUCCAAGUUAGACAGGUACCCGGUGAUCUCUUUUGGUGAAGACGGAGUGCGUGGAAGACUCGUCUCGUUUUGUUCAUAUGAUAUAUGUAUAACUUUUGUACAAUUUACUUUUGAACCAAAUGUAAACUUUCAUAUAUAUGUAAUGUAAUGGUUGUUUACUGUGAUUACUAUGUACAUUGGAUUUGAUACACAACUUGGAGUCAACCCCGGAAAUGUUUCCGCCUUUGAUUUUCGGGGUGUGACAGAUUGGUAUCAAAGCCCUUGUUUAUAGUGAACAGAGUAUACCAAACCUUACAUGGCAUGAAACUAUAAACACUAAAGGGCCUCAGUGAUCUGAAUUAAAAGUAUCUUCAAAACUAUAAGUAUUUUCAAAAGUAUACAAGUAUACCGAACCGUCGAGAUCCGUAACUACAAGUAGAACAAAACAUAAGUAAAUGGGUGUUGUACACUGCGGUUAAACCUGGGCAGUUAUGUAGUCGUGUCUAGGAUCAAUAUAGCCUGGACAACUAUAUUCAUUCGAGCCACGGCCAACAUGUGCCCGGGAGUGACUGUGGUAUGCGGCAUGCAUAAAACUUACCCNNNNNNNNNNNNNNNNNNNNNNNNNNNNNNNNNNNNNNNNNNNNNNNNNNNNNNNNNNNNNNNNNNNNNNNNNNNNNNNNNNNNNNNNUAUACGCGUUAUUCCUUGAUCAUUCCUCUAGCGAUAAAAUGUUCUAUCUUAAUAACUCCUUUCUGCUUUAUCGCUUAGUAUGAUGUUAUAUUUGUCUUGAUGAGAUAUCCCUUGUUACAUAUCUCUUGAUUCAAUUCAGAGGACUUAUGAUCCUCUCUUUCCUGAUCUUUUUAGAUCAAGAUGCCUCCCAGAAAGAGACCCAGCUCACAGAACAACAACAAUCCUCCUCCGCCACCACCUCCUAUUCAAAUCGAUUUGGAAACACUUCAGGCAACCAUUUCUGCCACCAUAUCAGCUCUCCUACCUCAACUGAACCCUAGUGGUUCAGGGGGUGGAACCCAAAACCCAGAUGAUAGCCAGGGACACCAAAAAGGGGGUUCCUAUAAAGACUUCAUGAACGCAAAACCGACAUUCUUUGCUGGCCCAGGGGGUGUCAUUGCUUUAACCCGAUGGUUCCAGAAAAUCGAAUCAAUCUUUGAAAUAUGCACCUGUUCGGAGUCUGAUAGAGUCAAGUUUGCUGCCUGCACCUUUCUAGACAAAGCCUGACUUGGUGGAACGGCCGAGUCAAAUCUUUAACUUUACCUGUAGCCAAUGCUAUGGGUUGGGAAGCUAUGAAGGAGCUUCUUCUCGCAGAAUAUUGCCCUCGGGGCGAACUCCAGAAGCUAGAACACGAACUUUGGAACCUUAAGAUGAAGGGUUCCGACAUAGCUGCUUAUACCUCAAGAUUCGAUGAUCUGGCGUUACUCUGUCCGGGAAUGGUUACCCCGGAGAGUAAAAAGAUUGAGAGGUUCAUCUGGGGGUUGACCCAGCCAACAAAGGGGAAUGUCUUGGCUGCGAAGCCAGACACAUAUGACAGUGCUAAAUGUCUUGCGAAAAUCUUGAUCGAUCACGAAGACAACUCUGAUGAGGAAGCUACCAACCCCGAGCCAGUCACCAGUGGAGGCGGAAGCAAAAUGAAAUCUUGGAAUAAGCGGAAGGCCCCGAGUAUGCAAAGGUCUUCUAAGAAACAGCAAACAGUAGCAGUCCAUGCUGCUACUGCCCCUGUUGUUGUUUCGGCUGUCGGUUCCAUAGCCCAAACUCCUACCAGUGGAUACACUGGUACCCGUCCUUGGUGUGGUAAGUGCAACUACCACCACCGCAUUCCUGGUCCAUGUCGCGAAAGGAUCUGCGACAACUGUGGCAAUAAGGGCCACCUUGCUCGAACCUGCAGAAAACCAGCCAAAUCAACGAACCAAUCAUCCGGAGCGGGAAUCAGUCCGGCCUGCUACAAUUGUGGUGAAGCAGGGCACUUCAAGAGGAAUUGCCCCAAAGCAGCUACAACCACUGAUCCCUCUGUCGCCGCAGGUAUACUUCUCUUUGAUAAUUCUUAUACCUGCAACUCUUUUCGAUUUUAGUACAAAAAGGGAAACCUGUUAUCCAUCUAUUCGAACAUUUUCUAAACUCAAUCCUUCGUAUGUAAUCGAAAUGUGUACCGUCGAGAUGACUAACCAGUGAGAUACAGAACACUAACUUCGUACCCAUAGAUUGAAUCCUCAGUCCGGAGGAUUAUUCUGCUCCAUUCGAUUUAAAAAGGGGAAAACUUUCUACAAAAAUACUUUGAUGCUAUGUCUAAAAUCAAAUGACCGAGUCUCCUUCAUGUUGCUAUCCUUGGUUUCGAAAGGGUCGCUCGUCUAGAUCUUUUCUUGACCCGGAUCUCGUGAUCUUCGGCAUCAAACUUUCGUAUCAUUCCAUGCCUUAGAACUCAAAAGUUUUUCCAAUAUGAAUUACCACGCAUCUCUCGUUUCUGUGAUUAUUGAGAAACAGGAAGUUAGCAGCUCUUUCCCCUAAAUGUCUUUCCCGAAGGAUUCCCGGGAAUUUUUUUCGAACGUCUAGUUUAGUCUCACAUCAGACCCUUCAAGAUCUUUGUAGAAAUCGAUUCUGCAACCUUUAGAUUUCGGAUUCCCUUAGAGCUUGAUAACAUCUAUCAAGUCCAUCACAUCUCGAAAACUUAGAAGUACCUACUCAACGAAACCCUAGUGAUUCCUUGAGGAAACCGAAGUCGUCCAGGGUUGGAACUUCCAUGAGAAAACCAAUUGAUAUCAUAGAUUGAGAGAGAGUCAAUGUGCAAAACAAAGACACGUCCCGAUAAUGAGAAUUCGUUAGAACUCCCAGUAGAGACCUGAUUCCACUUGAGAAAGUGAAGAUCCAAGGCAACAAAUCCAUUCAUGUCUCGUUCCAAUUCAUGAUCUGCAUCUUAUUCUAUGAAUUUCGGGAGGAAAUUCCCUCUAACGGGGGGAUAAUGUAACAACCCGAAGUUUUCCAUCGCCGAAAAACCCGUUCUACCCGUAUAACUCGCCGUGUGCCGAAACGUUCCAAUGUCGUUUUUGGGUUUAGUUAAUUAAAUUUAUAUGUUUAUUAUGAUCCAAUGAGUGUCCAAAACCUUUAGGAACUCAUGAAACAAGCCCAAAAUAUUUAUUUCAUAAGUUUUAGAAAUGUCCCCGCCGGGUGACGGAAACUCAAUCGGGUGCGACCUAAAGCCUCGUUUAAGGCCGGUAUCGGGUAGAAUUCCACCGUGUCCAAGUUUUGGGAACUAUAUAAACGUAUUAAACCUUUCAUUUGAAGCUUUUUCCCUCUCUCUCUACUCUCUCUCUAACCUCUCUCAUAAAUCCAAAGUUUAAGGGUCCAAAACUCAAUUUUAAGGCCACAAAUCCCUAAGGUACCUUCCUAACUUCAUUGUAUAGCAUAUUUGGCUUCUAAAUUCGAGAUUAAAUCAUGAGAUUGGACAUAUUAUAUGAUUUUAUGGCCCAGGAAGAUGCCUAGGCCGUAAACACUAAGUUUGAAGGGUUUUGAGCCCUUAAACCCCUUCUAGACAAUUUUGGGACCUAGAUAUGAAUGACUUCAUGAAUUGGACUUAUAACAAUUUAAACAUGAAUUUUGAAGGCUUUGAAGGAGUUUACGGCCAAGCCUCAUGCUUGGGCCAUAAACUCAUAUAAUUGAGGUUUUCAUGACCUUAAACCCUUCCAAAUCACUAAUAAGGCUUAGGUAUGAAUUAUAGAAUAUUGGUUUUAGCAUUUGGACACUUGAAACAUAAUUUUUGAAGGAUUAUUGUGAGUUUACGGCCAAGGCAAGUGCAUGGGCCGUAACCUCCUUAAAACAUGGUGAAAAUUCAUUUUAAAGUGUUGUUUAACCCCUAUAACACCCCUAAAGCCUUGGAAUGAAUUUUAGAAGUCCUUACAAUCAAGUUUUUGGUCUUAAAACAUAUGGAAUAACUCUCUAAGAGAGUUUAUGGCCACAAGGGGGGUCUCAUAGGCCGUAAACUCCAAAAACCCCUCCAAAAUUUCAAGAAAAUGCAUGAAAGGCCUAGGAAUAAAUUUAGUAAUCACAUGUGAUUUGUUUUAGCAUCAUUUAACACAAUUUUCAUGGGUAUUAAGGAGUUUACAGCCAGGGGUCCAUGCUAGGCCGUAAACUCCCAUAAAUAAGUCAUUUUGAUGUUUAAAAUCCAUUCCAAGCCUUUAAACCAAACCUAGAAAAAUUCCCUUAAGUGUUACAAGCAAAGUUGUGCCAUAACUCACCCCACCAUGAGUUUAUGGCCGUAAACUCAUGGGGAGAGGGUCAUUAUGGCUGUAAACUCCCUAAGGAGUGUUCCUUUGAAGUCCCAAUUCAAUAUCCUAACUAUAUGUGUCCCUAAAUGUCACCCGGGUCCCUCCAAACACUUGUAUCGGGGUGUUUUCGCGACUAGAAACAAUUGUCCCUAUCAAAUAAUCAAUCUAAGUCCUAAUUAGAUACAAAUGUGUAUCUUUACAUUAUACUUAGGAACCUCGUGUGUUUGCAAGCCCCGGACCAACACUUAGCAUCCAAAUCGUCACAUUUCUCAUCCGGUGAGUUCAUACCCCUACGCCUUUUCCGUGUUUUUCAAUGUUUUCAGGGGGGGAAUACAAGCAAACUAUAACUGUUUUCAAAUCAUAACAUUGAUAUGUUUCUAAUAAUAUCUGGCAAAUUUAUAAACACUUUUACUCCUUAUGUAUUAUGCUGAGCAUAAGGAAUGAUUUAUCAAUUACAACUAAAUGGAUUUUAGUUAAGAAAAUAACCAAACUAAUCAAAUUAUUAUGGGAAUAAUUUGGGGUUCUAUAUUUCUCUUUAUAUCAUGUACUGAUAUCUGUAUAAAGUUAUUAGAUAAACUAUGUCUGAUUCAGUUUAUCUCCGUAUCAUUUGAAUGUAUUGCCAGAUAGUUUCAUAGUAUGUAUCUAUUUUCACUGUAUUAUGUUUCACAAUCUUUGUAUGUUUGAUAUCAUAUGAGAAUCCUAUGAAUAGUUUAGUACUAGUUUGUGAGUAGUCACUACCCUUUAUGGAUGAUCAGUAAAUCCUCCCCGGAAGUGUAACCAGAGUCUCCUGGAGGGAGAGCGAGGAAUUUGUGAAUAGAUCUAUUCGGGACUGACAAUCCCACACCUUAACUGCUAGCUACAGUUAGGCGGGCACGCCUGGGGUGACAAAUUCUGUAUAUCAUUCGACGUCUGACUAACGUCAAGGAGGUCUCGUUGUCGUAUCAGCAUGGUUACCCGACUCACAAUACGUAUUAAUAUAAAUUUAUUCACAGCUGGGAUUUUGUUUAGAAUCUAUAUCUUGUUCGGGAUGAUAAUCCCAUGGUCUUGUAUCUAUAUCUCGUUCGGGAUGAUAAUCCCAUGGUUUUGUAUGUAUAUCUUGUACGGGAUGGUAAUCCCAUGGUUUUGAAUCUAUAUCUUGUACGGGAUGGUAAUCCCAUGACUUUAUCUAACUAUCUUAUAUCAAAUUCAAGAUAGUGAUCCCAUGGUUUUAUCAAACAAUCUCAUAUCUGAUUCGGGAUAGUAGUCCCAUGGUUUUCAAUCUAUAUUUUCUAGUAUAUCAAACUAUCUUGUAACUAGUUCGGGAUGUUAUUCCCAAGGUUUUCAAAAUACUUUCUAUCUACAGUUCGUCUAUAUUAUAGUAUUCUUGUCUAAUUCGGGAUAGUAAUCCUAUGAUUUUCAUCAUAUAGUUUUGUGUAUUAAACUAUACUCUGUGUUAUUCAAUUAAUCUUGCAUUUAGGAAAAUAUGGGAUUUUCCUGGGGUUAACUUAUAACGCGUAACUAAACUGUAACGAAAGAUAACUAAACUAACUUUACAUAAGAAAAUAUGGGAUUUUCUUGGAUAACAAACCUUUUCGGAAAACUAAAGGAAAUCGAUACAUUUUCACAAAACAAAACCGCUUAUGAACUCACCAGCUUUAUGCUGAUUUUCAAACUGCUUGUAUUCUCAGGUCCAAGUUAGACAGGUACCCGGUGAUCUCUUUUGGUGAAGACGGAGUGCUCCGAAGACUCGUCUCGUUUUGUUCAUAUGAUAUAUGUAUAACUUUUGUACAAUUUACUUUUGAACCAAAUGUAAACUUUCAUAUAUAUGUAACGUAAUGGUUGUCUACUGUCAUUACUAUGUACAUUGGAUUUGAUACACAACUUGGAGUCAACCCCAGAAAUGUUUCCGCCUUUGAUUUUCGGGGUGUGACAUAUUCCUCAAGCCAAUGACCUACAUAGAAAAAAGUUCUUUUGUCGUGAUGGUUUUGGUGUUGUAUAUUUGCAUGAUAUGUGUUCCGACUUUAGGUAUGACAUCAUUACUCCAUAUUUGGGUAUUUUAUAAAAAUUUACUAUAAAGCAUGAUAUAAUUAAAACAUCUAUAUUGAAUUUUCAUCUAUACAGCUCUUGGCCCAGCAUGUUUCGGACGGUGUGACGCAAUCAGCAUCGAUUGCUAACAACUUUGACAAGAACUAGGUUUUGCUAUAGGUUCAUACGAAGCAUGGCCUUCAUCUCAGUGUUGUUGCCAUGAUUAAAUUACUAUUGUGUUAAUAUCCACUUGUAAGGAAUAUAUACUCCGUAAACCAUCAAAUAAUGGGUUAAUAAUGAUAAAAUAUUUUCAUGGUAUACUGAUGUUACGUUAAACUACAUGAUAAUCCCAUAAAGCUAUUAAAAAAAUUUAGUUUAGUAAUGUUCGUUUAUUUAUUUGAAUGUGUAACUAAUAAACAAAUAUACAUCACCCAAAAAUUUCAUAAGAUACUACAUAGCCGAAGCCACUUUUAAUAACUCUGAAGAUCACUUUGUAACCUUCAAUGUUAUUUUUUAUAAAAGGGAAACAAUAAAGAUAUAAUAAAAUCCUUUGAUGGGGUAUUCCAAGAUGUUACAUCUCUAUGGAACGUCUUUGUUAACUUCAUAGAUUGUCAUUACUACUACUGUUUAUGUAAUAUUUUUUCCAUUUUUAAAUUUAUGUUUCGGUAAACCUUGGCUUUAGUGAGUCCCUUAUGGCAUGUGAAUAGACGUCUGUCAUACUAAAUAGUAUGGUUUUAUCUUACUUUUUUAAAUUUAUUUAUGGGUAAGCCACUGUUGCCCAAGGAAUCUUCGGCCAUCGUCGCCGGAAGGGACUAUUGUGAGUUAUAGGGUGGAGUCGGAUUGACAUUUAUCCCGGAUGGUGUCAUCUAUCAGAGGUCGCAACACUUCGAUAUUUUUUUUUUUUUGGAAUUAGUUGAUAUAAAUAGUAAAGUUAUUCAUUUAUUUGUUUAUUAUAGCCAUAUCUUGUCAACNUAUUUGUUUAUAUAGCCAUAUCUUGUCAACUUUGACAAUCUUUUUAUGUUUCAUAAUGAUCUACGUUGUUUGGGUCAUGGUUAACAAAUUGGUAUCUCAUUGCAAUUAUGGUUAAGAUUUUUAGCUGUCAAAUAGCAAGUUUAACGUUUAAAUUGACCUUUCUAUGACCACAUCAUUGGAUUUUUAGAAUGCCAUUUAUAGUUAUGAGAUAAAAGAAGAAAU